rnacentral:lncRNA from 1 species
UUUCUUGAUGUUUAUUUCAUGGUUUCUAAGUGAGAAUCAUGCGUAAGGUUGGGUUGUAAAAUCAUGUUUAGCACUAGACAUUAAGUUUGAACAGUUGAGGUCCAUGAAGGUGGAUGUGAUGAUUUCUUGGUUAAUGAUGCUAGUUAUAUGGAAGUGGCCUAAUAGGGCUUGAACGGUGUAUGAAAUGGCUUAAGUUUAAGUUGAUUCGUAAUGAAGUAUGAUGUUGUAUGUAUGAGGUAGAAGUAUGCCCAAGGUGAUAUGGAGUUGCGAUAUUUUCUAAGGCUAUUACAUGUUGUGUGUGGUUAGUAGUACCGUUGAGUUGCUAGGUGGAGAAAGACUAGUUAGAUGGUAUGUGGUGUUCUAACUAGUCAAGUUAAGGAGUUUUGAUUGAUAGUGUUAAGACUUUUUAUAUGAUUUUGAUUCUCAUGGUAGAGAGAUAUAAGUUUGAAGUCGCAAUAUUGGUAGGCUAUGAUGUAAGUAGUAUCAUUCAUCAAAGGCUUAGUGAUAUCUAUGUUAAGUGUUAGAAGCUAAUAUUGAGUUCUUGAAGGUUGAGCUCAUAGAAAUAAGAGUUGAAGAGUUAGAAGGUGUGCACUCCGACUAUGGGGACACUUAUGAAGAUCCAAAGUAAGUAAGUGUUCUAGUAUUAUGUGAUGACUAUUGGGCUAUAGAAUGAUAGAGUGUGUCUCAGAAGGUGGUAUUAGCAGUGGGUUUUUCUACUUCCAGGUGUAGUCAUUCGGGUUAAGUUCUAUUAAUUACGUGUAUUGUCGUAUUCCAGACUCCAGAGUGCAGUGAGUGUAGUUUAGUUUAGAGUCUUGUAAGGGAUCUCUCAAACUUAAGCUGAUGACUUAAAGCUAAAGGGGAGAUGAUAGAACAAGUAACCGAGUCAGGCUCUCAGAUUCUGGUAGUGAUGCCAGUAUGAUAUAAAACAUCAGAAAGUGAGGGUGAGACUCAACCCAUUCUUAUCUUAGUAUUUUUCAGUGAUCCAAAUACCUACUCAUGCCUUAUGAUUCAGUUCCAUGGUCAUAGUUCAUGUUCAUGCAUAUGAUUGAGAGUCAUGUACUGUUCCAGUUCAAAAAUGAGGAGUUCCAGUUUAUUCAGUAGUCGGAAUCACAUUCCAUAUGUUAUGAACUUCAAAUUGAGGUCAUGCAGCUCAUGACUCAUGUACUCACGCUAUAUAGUGUGCUCAGUUCCCAUAAUUUAUGCUAUACUCUUUACGAUUGACGAGAUUCAGCUUAUAGUCAUGUAUGCCCCAAUUCAGAUCACUUUGAUAAAUCCCUAAUGUUGAUUCGCUGUUCCUCAGGUCUCAGUUAAGUGUCGAGUUUUGUAUAGUAUCCUUCCAUACUUCAAAGUCUUAUGUUCUAACCUUUUAGUGACUCCUCCUUAUGUAAUGAUAGUGGUGAUGUGUAAAUAGUUCUUGUUGAUGAAAGAUCAUUGUAUACUUGUUUUGGAUGAGGCCAUAAGUGUGGAGUAAGAUUUGGGGCGAAGUCUUUGAUACAUGUGAUGGUUAGUGGAAAUUUAUGUGUGUAUAUUCUUGGGGUAGCGCAUGGGAGUUAUAUUGACAAUGGUUUAGAGACUAUGUGAAAUAUAUAUUUAAGGGUGUUUGCCUUGAAGUCCAUAUGUGGUUAUAAAGAUAGGCUUGAAUGACAUGUUGGGAUUUAUGUGGAAGAACGUAAUAUGCGCUAGUAAAUCCAUAGUAAGAGUUCAGAGUUAGUCAUUGAACUGGUAAGGCACGUUAUGCUUAGGGUGUGAUCUUUAAAAAAAUAUAGAAGGUUGAAUCAUGUGGUUUAGACUAGUAUCGUAGUGUGGCAUGUUGUAUUUUGUGAUUUAGAAUUAGGAUUGAUCACAGUGAAAGGAUUUAAGCUACUUUAGACAUUAGUAGAAUAAUUUGUCAAUGCUCAUAUGAGAAUUAUAAGUUGAACCAAUGAUUAUGGUAUUCAAGGGGAAUAAUAUAGUUAAGGGAGUAUUCGAGGAGUGUGCUAAGCUUGAAAUUAAGAAGUUGCAUUGCCUAAGUCCUGGAAAUUCUAUCCUAGUUUAUGAGUUAUAUGUCCUUAUUCCAUGCUAGAUAGUAGUGUAAUUGUGAUGAUUCCUUAGUUGGAUGUCUUGUGUAACUCAGGCCUAAGAUUCUUUACUCCCUAAUGCUACUUUAACUUCUUUAGAAAGAGUUUUGAAGAGAUACUCCAGUUAAGCAUAAGUGUCUGGUAUAAUUCAGUUUGUAAUUCAGCUUAACAGUCGGGCAGACAAGUUACUAUAGUUUUUCCACCUUUUCACUCAGUCCUACAAUCCGAAGUCUCAUGCGUAUGGCCAUACCCAAGAGAUGAUCUAUUCCAUCCAUAUAAAUUGUGAAUUCAGUCCAUUCCAAGCAUCAUGUUUCAGAUUCAGCUAUCCAUUCAUGACUCGGUGCAUAAGAGUUCAGCGUAUAAUCUCAAAAUUUCCCAAGUAUUUCAACUCAGAUAGUGUAAUACCCUUGUACGAUCUAAGUCUUUCUGUCUUAUGAUUCGUACUCGCAUAAGUUAUCACUUGCUAAUUUCAAUGUAUAUGAUUGGAUCAUGAAUAUUUCAAGAGAAUCCUAAAUUUUCAGCACGAAUUUGCUUCUUGAAGCAAGAAAAGUCAAGUCAGCUCAGAAUUCAGUUUCAUGAUAGAAGUUUAAAUAGUUCAGAUCAGUUAUGUCCUUUCUUAGAAGGCACAUCAUGUCCGCGUUAUUCCAUACCGUUACGCUUCAACAAGUUUCUACCCAUCAUUCAGGGACGAAUGAUCCCAAGGGAGAGAUAAAGUAACACCCUGAAUUUUGGGCUAGAACGAAAACGUCAUUUCUACGCGUUGAUAUUCCAAAAGCCAUAAAUCCUAUGUAAAUUUUGUAUGUUAAUAUAUUAUGUAGUGUGGGAACCUAUUUGAGCAUGAAUUUAGAUCAUAGAGGUCCCCUAACUCAAGGUCAAGUUGAAAGCUUUCCUAUCGUUCGAGUUUUAGUGAGCAUCGAAACUUGGGUCAACUUUAGUCGACCAUAACUCCUUGUAUAUGACGAACUGGGUGACCUACUAUAUGUCAAAUGAAAUAUCUUCGAAUUAGCUUUCCAAUGAUACUAAUUUCUUCCAAAUUCGAUACCCGAACAAAAAGUUAUGGCCAUUUACGUGACUGAGACAGCAGCAUAGCGCGAUUAGCGUGCGAUGCAUGCACCCAAUUUUCAGGUCCUGUUUUCACGUUUUUUAAGGGAAAAAGUGGUAUUUCCACCCCCUAUUCAGCCAUAACAUGGGAUUAAAUCCCCCAAACACCGAAAUAAGGACAUUCUCUCUCAAAAUCACCAAGAACACUUUUUAGGGUUUCAACCCAAAGAUCAAAAUAUCUUAAGAUUUCACCGUGGGUUUUCAAUAAUUCUUCGAGAUUCGGAAUACCCAUUGCGAGGGCUACAAGAAGCACCCAUCAAUUGUUCGAAUAGCAUCUCUAAAGAAUGAGUUCAUUCAAGAGUCAUAAAUUAAGGUAUGCGGGGUUUUCCUUAAAUCUCAUGGGCAUAGAAAUCAUGUUUUAAGAAUGAGAUUUUGAAAUUUAUGAACAUAAUCAUGUUUUAAAAGUUUUGACGGUAUUGUUUUGUUCUUUAGACCUUUUCCCCAAAUAGAUUUGAAAUUUUAUAUAUAUAUAUCUAUCUAUCUAUCUAUCUAUCUAUCUAUCUAUCUAUCUAUCUAUCUAUCUAUCUAUCUAUCUAUCUAUCUAUCUAUAUAUAUAUAUAUUGAGAGCAUGAUUUACAUGAAAUCCCUCUCUUGAUGUAAAUUUUUCCAUGUUUCACAUGAUACGGAUUGUUUUGAGAUACAUCUUGGAAAGCAUGUUACGAAAUAUCGUGAUUUAUGAAUGACUUGGUUAUGAAUCUUGAUUUCAAAAGAGAGGGUUGUUUGUAUUGACAAAUGUUGAAUAUCCAUAUACUGAAAGAGUGCAUGGUUUUGCCAAAAGCACAUGACCACCAUAUGUUUUGAAGAGUUUUUGCAUGAGUUUUGUUUUAUGUUUCGGAACAUAAAAUCUUUUAUAUUAUUUGCAUGUGGGUGGUCUGAACUAUGUUUUUAUAAAAGAUCUUGCUAAAUGCAUUAUGGCAAAGAAAACACGACAUGCAAGUCUUGGUAUGACGAUACCAAUUCAGACAAUGCCAUAACAAACGCAGACAAAUACAGAAGUCAGACUUUAUCAGAUUUUCAUGUUUUAGAACUUCAGAAUGAUGCAUGUUCUGAAAAGGCUAAAAUAUGGCAUAAAGAGAUGUUAGGUGGUUCCCCGAAGAAGGCAUGAUUUCAGACAACUCAUUGCCCAAAAUCGUGAUUUCUGGGUUUAUAUAUUACGCUGGCCUAGAGUCGUGUGGUGUAUCAGAAUCAGAGAUUCCAAACCUUGUGGCAAACUCGGGUUGGGGGCUUCCCCUCCGAGUAAAUGGUGGGUUCCAUACAGCCCGUGGAAUAUCAGACUUGUAGGGGAGCGUCACCUAACUCAGAAGUAAUACAGAGAUCAGAAAUUAUUUUGACAAGAAUGUCUUAGAAUGUUCAAAAUGAUACCCAUGUGUUUUGGAAACUAUUUUAUACAUGAUGUUUUGUUAAAUUGCUCUCAUCUACUUUAUACUUAUACAAAUACACUAUUUUGGAUUGCUUUACGUGCCAGUAUAUUUGUGCUGACCCCCUCCCCCCCUUCCAGGUUCUGAGGCUCAGUCUAGGGGUCCAGGUAAACAGUAGAUAUUUCAGAUCAUAGAUCAGACUAUGCAGUGGUGAGCCUUCUAUGAUCCAGAAGGCUUGUUUAUUUUCAGAUAUUUAUCUUUAGUCAUGUUUUGGUCUACUGGGAGCCUUGUCCCAGUUUUCAGACAGUUUUGUUUAGUUAUAGUAGAGAUUUUGCAGACUGAGUCGGGGAUUAUUAUUCAAAUAUAUUUUGGAUUUCAGUUUUCAGUAUUACGAUCACAUUCAGAUUGACCAUGUUUCCGUAUUAGAUUUUUAUUUCUGCAUUAUCUUUUAUCAUAUGAAUUAUGUGCAUGAUUACCAAAUAGAUAGGGGUGUUUCAGGCCUACAUGGUUCGAAAUGCUGGUCACGGAUAGGGCCCCAGUUCAGGUCGUGACACCAUGUCAGGUGGAAACCACUAAAUUAUUUAAUAUCUGAUUGUUAGAAACUCUGAAAUCACAUUGCCAAAUACAAAUUAUGUGUAACACCCCAUAUUUCGGACUAGAACGAAAACCAUCAUUUCUAUGCGUAGAUGAUCCAAAAGCCAUAAAUCUUAUGCAAAUUUGGUAUGUUAAUCAAUUAUGUAGUGUGGUAACCUAUUUGAGCAUGAAUUGAGAUCAUAGAGGUCCCCUAACUUAAGGACGAGUUGAAAGUUUUCCUAUCGUUCGAGUUUGAGUGAGCGUCAAAACUUAGGUCAAAUUCAAUUGACCAUAACUCUUUGUUUAUAACAAAUUAUGAGCCCUACUAUAUAUCAAAUGAAAGUUCUUUGAGUCCUCUUUCCAACUCCACUAGUUUCUUUUUAAUCCGAUAUCGGAGUAGAAAGUUAUACUUAUUUUACUUCAAAGUCUCUUUCUGCCAAAAUAUGAGACGAGGCUGACGACUUAUUAGCUAUGUGAUGGCCCGUCAGACCUGGUCGUCAGCCUAAGGUAGUGAAUGGUGAAAACCAGCCUAAAAGUGAUGACCUUGGUAACGACUUAUCACACAAAUUAAAGAGAAGAGUUGCAUGAUAUAGAGAAUUUGGACAUGACCACCAUUAUUUUGUUGAAUUGUUGAUAAAGAGAAUUGCUUGCAUGGUUUUACAUCAAUUUUAAAGCAUGAGUUUCUUGAAAGAAUUGUUGAUAUGGUGGUCCUGAAUUUCAUGAUUUGAAAACAGUGAUAUAAUUUGCUAUAAAUAGCUCAGAGCAUGGGACUUGCAAGUCAAUGGUAUGACGAUACCAUAUAUGUGUAUACCAUGACAGAGUUAAAGAUUUCAGAGUAUGUUUUCAGAGCAUGCAUGUUUAAAGAACUAAAAAUGGGCAUAAAGAGAGUUAGGUGGUUACCUGAAGAAGGCAUGAGUUCAAGUAACUCUUAGCCCGAAAUCGUAUUUGUCGAUACGGGUAGAUUAUUAUGAUACGCUGGCGACAGUCGUAUGGCGUAGUAGAUUCAGAGACUCCGACCCUUGCGGUACACUUGGAUUAGGGGCUUGGCUACAGAGUUAAUGGCAGAUCCAAUAUAGACUGUGGGAUUACAAAUUAUAGGUUACACCACCUAGCGCAGAAGUAAUACAAAGAGUGUCACAGAGUUCAGAUGUUUUCCCAGAGUCUUUUAAAAAUGCCCAUGUGAUUUCUUAAUAUAUGAUAUGUUUAUGAACUAUUUUAAAUUACUCUCAUUUAUGUUGAAUAUAAAUGAUUAUUUUAGAUUUUCUCUGCGUACCAGUGCAUCUCCCCUACCUCUCAAGAUUCUGAGGCUCAGUCUAGAGGUACUUAUAAGCAGUAGAUAUUUCAGACAGCAGGGCAGAGUUCAAUGGUGAGCUUUCUAUAUUCCAAAAGGCCAAAUAUUUUACAGUUAUUCUAUCAUUUCUAUAGUUUUAGUCUACUGGGGGCCUUGUCCCGAAUUUCAGACAGUAUUGUUUAGAGAUAUAGUAGAGAUUUCACAGACUGAGUCAGAUGUUAUUUAGAUGUUGCUGAAUUGCAGUUUCAUCAUUAUUUUUGAAUUAAGAUUUGACCAUGAUUCCGUAUUAUGUUUUGUUCCGCAUCUUCUUUUAUUGUACGAACGUUGUGCAUGACUAUCAGAUAAAGAAGGGUGCCCGAGCCUUCAUGGUUCGGGAUGCUCGUCACGGACAGGGCCUCAGUUCGGGUCGUGACAUUAUGUAAUCAAAUACACCUUCUCAAAAGCUUAACACAAAUUAAAAUAAGUGUUGUAACUUUUCUUUUUAACCAAAAGAGUCAAAUUCAAUGUUACUCUAUCACCUCUCUUAAGCAAAAAAAAUAAAAAAUGAUAGAUAACAACAGAACACAGGUUACAAAAAAACAAUAUGAUUAAGAAUCGAAUCUCUAUAUAAAAAAUCAUAAAGUCUGACUAAAUAUUCAUCUACCACAUAAAAUAACAACAGAAUAGAAACUAUAACAAAUAAUACAAUAAUCAAAAUAUCAUAACAAUAUUAAACCUCACCUUUACACAAAUUCCUUAAAGCUCGAUCGAACUUUUAUCUAUCACCUAUACUGAGCAGAAAAAAUAACAUAUAUCAAUUGAACAAGAUGAUAAUAAAGAUAUCUGAAUGAUACAAUUAAAUUUAAUAUUUACACUGAAAUUCCUUAAAGUCCGACCUAACAUUUAUCACCUGUAUCAAGCAAAAAAAAUAAAAAAUAAAAAUAACAACAUAAUAAAUCGGUAUCACAAUAAAAAUAUUUAUUUUAGAGUCCAUAAUACACUCAACCCUAAAUAAAGAAUAAAUAUGAUAAAAAAUUUAAUUAUUUUUUUCAAUAAAUAUCGUAUACAUUAAAUCGAACCACUAUAAACACAAAUAUAAAAAAUCAAAGAAAGUCUUUUGCCAAUGACAAAAAUAAUGUGGGAUUAAUUACCAAGAAAACAAUACACCUAUAAUGAACCAAUAAUUGGUAGAAAGAAUUCCAACAAAAAAGAAAAAGAAGAAAUAAUUUGGUUGUAUGUAUUUUGGUGGACGAAGUGUUGUCCUUAUAAUGAAUAUAUGUGUGAAUUCAAAAGCUAAACCUAGAUCAGUUACAAAAUAAAAACCAUCUCUUGCCAUAUAUUUUAGAACUACUAAUUUAGAAAAAAAAGUUUUACCAUAUAUUUUAGGAGACAAUAUUAUAUAUAAAUUAAAUAAUAAUUAAAAAAAGUGAAAAGACUAUUUUGUCUAUUGUUCAGUGUUUUAAUGGAGGGCAAAAAGUUCAACUCACAUUUUUAAGGGUCUUCACGCGUUUAAUAUAUUAUAGAUUAUAGAUAUAGAUAUCGAUAUAGAUAUAGAUUAUAGAUUUAUAUAGAGAUUAUAAAUUAUAGAUAUAUAUAUAAAGGAGGUUUAGAGUAUGCUGAUGUGGCAUACUUCUAAAGCCUCCAUUUCUAUUUUUCUUUUUUAUUAACUUUUUAAGAUUUUUUCAAUUUAUUUAUUAUAUUAAAAUAAUUUACACCUCCCCAUUUACUAUUCUUUAUAUGGGUUGACAACCAUAUAUUCCACACAAGAGCCUCUUUAUGGCAUGGCACAUGCAACAUGUAUGUAUUUUUGCUGAAUAUUUUUGAAGUCAUUCUCGCUAUUUCUUCCUCUAGGUGUAACCAUUCCAAGAUUCUGUACUUAAUACUGUAUUUUACUUGUUUUUCAAUUAAGUUGUGAGAAGAAAAUGUCUAUAGACUGAUGAGGGGAGGGGUGUUAAUUAUUCGGUUAAUAAGCAUAUUAUAAUAAAUUUAAAGGAUGUAUAUAUGGAAGUAUUGAGAUGGUAAAAGAAUAUAAAAAGAAAGAGGAAGAAGAUGUUAAUUGGCAUAAAAUUUGGAGCAAAAUGUGGAUUUUAAUUUACCGAUUUUAGGCAAAAAUUAGGACAAAGCAAUUAAAAAAUAUUGGCAAAAUAUCAAGUAAAAAAUUAGAGGUGAUAUUUGCAUAGAUUUGUCAAUCAUUGCAAAUAAUGAAGAGAAUUAUAUUCUAACUUACAAAAUAUAUUAAAUAUCUAUUAAAUAAAAUAUGAGGAAGUGCAAUUUUUUUAAAAAUCUCUUAUGCGUUAGAAUUGGUAUAUCUUAUGUAUAAAAAUGAAGACCUCUCAUAAAAAGUCUGUAAAACUAACUAAAAAAUAAAAAAUUAUAGCAUAAAAAUUAGUUCUCCUCAAUAAUAUAACCAUGUACGAAAGUAUAUAUUAUCUAUAUGUAUAUAUUACGAAAAUAUAUAUAUAUAUAUAUUACUCUUGUAUAUAAAUAAAGAGUUUUGGUACUACUAUUUUUUCUAUAAUAUAAUUUAUAGAGAGAAAAUUCAUGUCCAUAUUUAUAAAAUUGUGAUUAAAAUAUGGAUUAGGAGUCCUUUUCUAAUUCUUCUUUUCACAUAUAAUAGGAGUCUGCAUUAAUUAACCCAAUAUAUAUUAAAGAGACAAUUUUUACUUAAAAGUUUUUUUUUCUAUUUGAAGUACAAUUCUUAUCAAAAUAGCUUACAUAUUAUUGUUAAAUUAUUAGGAAAAUAAAACGUAUAAAUUCACUCAACAAAUUUCAAUGAAAUAAUAACAAAUAAUUAAGGAAAUAUUGAAAAGAUAUAUUUAAAAACAAAAAAUUAAAUAAUAAAAAAAGUAAAAAUAAUAACUUUGUCUAAAUAAGAGUCUUUUAAUUAAGGAUAAAAAAUUUAACUCACUUUUAAAUAAGUUGUCUGCCAUUUUUAAUUAUACGGCAAAAGCACCGCCCAAAUGCCCAAAACCUAUGGUUUAUAGAUUUUCUACUCUUUUUAGUUCACACAAAAUCUCUAAAUUAUUUGUCUUAGAAAAGAAAGUGGCAUGUGUAAAAUAUCUAAAUUAAUCAACAUUAGUUUGUGGAGUUGGUCAUUAAUCUCAUCAAGUAUUUAAUAUUCAAUUGGAUUGACUUUUUGACAAUUUUUAAGGAAGAAACUUUAUAAUUAGCAAGUGCUUUUUCUUUACAAUCUAAAAUGACGUAUUAUAAAUUCUUACGUAAAUAAAAUAUAUUUUUUUCUUUCCAUACAUAUGUUUUGUAAAAAAAGUAUAUUUUGGUUCCUAAACUUUUUUCAUUAAUAAAUUCGUAUCUUUUCGUUUUUGCCCCUUUUUUAACUAUAACUUUUGGUUCUUAAUUUUCUUUUUUUCCUUUUUCUAGAUAGUUUUUUCCUAAAAAGUUGUGUAGGAUUCCUUAUCAAAAAUUUACCUACAUUUAAUUCCUUUUAGUUAUGGAUUCUUCCUUAUUUUUCUUUUUGUAUCCUAAAUAUUUGAAUAAUAAUUUAAUGAUAAUUAUUUAAAAUAAAGUGAAAAGAUGAUUUUGUCUAUUGCGUAGUGUUUUAAUGAAGGGCAAAAAGUUUAAAUCACUUUUCUAAGGGUCUUAACACUUUUAAUAUAUUAUAGAUUAUAGAUAUAGAUAUUUUCAUUUAGACCAUUGUAAUUGAAUUAUACAUGGUAGUAAUUUAUUAUAAAUAUUUUUUUGUUCCUGAUUAAAUAACUAUCAAGGGUAUUUCAAUAAUUUUAUGAUGCAAUAAAUAUUUCGGAAUCAAUGUAUGUGUCUCCAUAACUUACAUAUUUGAAAUUUUCAAAUGAGAUGUGCAUCAUGUAUUUUUUCAGGAAUGUCCAAACGAAUGACAUGUCGCCAACUGUAGUUGCAACAAUCUAUCUAGAUUUUUAUCCACUUAUAUAAUCACUUUUGUAUUGGUUGGACUAGUCUAGCAAGCUCAAUUUCGUUCCACACUGAAUGUAUAUAUUAUGUUAACAUCAUUUUAUUAUACUGCAUUUCUUUUCUUUUACUCCUAUACUAAACAAUUACAACAAGUAGGAAAUAAUCUUCUUCAAAGUUGAAUCUCUUUUGCACAUUAGUGUUGCACGGGCACAGGUAUCUAGUGUGUGUGUGUGUGUGUGUAUAUAUAUAUAUAUAUAUAUUAGUGAUAAGACAAAUUUUUUUAGCUGACAUAUUAACUAUUUUGAGACGGAGAAAGUAAAAUUUUUCUAAGAAUAUUCUCAUAAUCAUUAAGUUUUAAGAGUUGCACGCCGAAUUUUGGCAUUUCCAGUAAGUAUAUUUAAAGGCAAAAGUGUUCCGUCGUGCUUAAAUUCUAGCCUUCCUCUGAUUAACUAGGUGUAUAAAACUAGUGUAAUUUUUUUAAUUCCUUAUAUUUUAUCCAAUCAAUGUGAGAGAUAGAAUAGGAGAGUUAUUUAAAAGGAUCGAUUAUCUCCUUUACCACGUUAGAUAUAAUGCAAUUUAGGUAAAAAGUUUCAAUUUUAAUAAUAUAUGGUUUCCUUAAGUUUGGAAUUAAUUAAAUUGAGAUCUCAUUAUUAAUUAGUAAGAUCAUCUUAAAAAUUAAAAUAGGUAUAGAGAUUACAUAAUUGUGUAUGCAUGCAAUUAAGGUAAUUAAUAACAAAAACUGACAAAUUCCUUUCUUUAAAGAUUUGAAUGAAUUGAAUUUAAGAUCUCUUUAUUAGUUAACCAUAUAUUUUAAUUUUGGACUCAAAAUUUGAGGUCUCUAUAUUAAGUAUGAGUAUUAUUAUUAUUAGUAUCUAUAAAAGGUCUAUACAUUUUAGUCUAUUAUAUAAUAGGUAUAACAUUUAUUUUACCUGUUUCUUUACCAUAUAGAUGAAUCAAAGCCAAAUAGGAAGUUUUUUUGUCAUCACUAAUAUAAAUAGAGGAAUAAAUAAAAACUUUUAUUCCGCCCCGCUACUUCCGCCAUAUUGAAAUUUUAAAUAUUUUUCUUUUGGACAUAAAUACCCCUAACAAACCAUCUAAUUCCCUAGAACUCAUACCAUAUAUUAGUCCAAAAAGAAUAACUAGACCUGAAGCAUUUUCAAGAAAAAAUGACAAGAAUCCUAUAGAUUCUGACAACCUUUUGCGGGCUCUUACUCUUUCAACUCUUUGAUUCAGUAAUUUCUUUUUUUUUUUUUUUUUUUUUUUUUUUUUUUACUUUAUUUUUUUUUUUUUUAAAGAGNNNNNNNNNNNNNNNNNNNNNNNNNNNNNNNNNNNNNNNNNNNNNNNNNNNNNNNNNNNNNNNNNNNNNNNNNNNNNNUAAAUAGUUUCGCGUCAUGUCUCUUCUGGUAGUAGUAUUAGUAUAUAUUUUUCUUUUCUACUUGUUGUAUCAUAUACGUCUGUUUUCUUACUUACUACUGUUGUUACUGCUUAUGUCUUCAUAAAUAUCCUCGUGUUUUUGCUUUCCUUGCCGAGGAUUUAUGGGAAACAAAUUUUCUGCUUGCGAAGGUAGGGGUUACGUAUGUUGUUGUUGAAGAAGAAGCAUGUAGAAAGAGAGAUGUUUUGCUUUGUCUCAUAAGUAUUUAGUUAGCUUGCAGUAUUUUCAUGAAUGGAUAAUGAUUUGUGAAUGGCUGUUUAUGGUUUUUUUGCUUUGUCCUUUGAAAUCUCAUGGACACUAGUUUGAUUCAUGUACAGUCUCCAUACAUAGAGAUGAUGAAGAACAACUUCUUCUUUUUUCGAUCAUCAACUAAUGAUGCAAACAAGACCCCUUCACCACCAUUAAAGUCCAAAGCAGUUUCUUCUUGGAGGAGUGUUUUAUUAUCAUCUGGAUUCUUCUAUGACAGUGGAUCAGGAAAAAAGAAUUUCACCGAUCUGAGCAAAUCUCCCCAUGGUCACAGUAAGAAAGUUCAUCCUAAGAAAUCUGGUCGUGAUUCAAGCCGGUAUGCAUAUCAUUUUGCUGUAGCUUCCUUUUUCACACUUAAACUGAUGUUUUAAUUUGCAUUUGCUUGUCCAAAGUAAUGACAAAUGUUUCUUCACGGCAGAGACCUUAGUGUUCCAGCGUUGAUUCGGACUAUUAGAAGAUUGACAAAGGAGAAGGUACAAAUGGCUUCUAAAGUUUCAAGCAUGCUACAGAAUCAAGUUGCUGAAAGGAAGGAAAAAGCCAGCAUAUUACAGGCAGAACUCACGGACACGAAGAUUGGAGACAGAAAAGAAUGAGUUACAAUCAGUACUGGAAAAGGAGUUGGAUAGAAGAUCCAGCGAUUGGUCUCUAAAACUUGAGAAAUACCAAAUUGAACAGCAUAGACUCCGUGAAAGGGCGAGGGAGCUUGCAGAGCAGAAUGUCUGGAAGUCUCUUCAUUUAAUGAGAAGGAAGUGGAUAAUAGAAUCAAGAUAUCAUUUUCGGAGAAACACCUUGAAGAUUUGUCUAAGAGAAUAGAGCAAGUGUCAGAGGAGAAUCAAAAUCUAAGGCAGCAGCUCACUCAGUUACAAGAGGAAUAUCGAGUAGCUCAAGACAAUAGAGAUUAUGUCCGGGAAAACUACCAGAAAAAGGUUAAAGAGCUUAAAUCGGAGAUUUUGCUGACAACUGUGCUAAGGGAGAAGCUCUAUUCUGAGGAGAUGGACAUAACGCAACUUCAGGAUGAUCUAGCCGCAGCAGUUAGAGGUAACGACAUUCUCAAAUGUGAAGUACAAAAUGCACUGGACGCUCUUUCUUGUGCCACACCCAAGUUGAAAUAUCUCAAGCUUCAGGUAAGCAGGGAAUGUUAAGAUCUCGUUGCAACGGAAUAGUUUUUAUUUUUCAACUUUACUUUAUGAACUUGUAUACAUGAGUUGCUGGCAUGUGGUAGUCUUCUACGACAUGUCUGAUUGCCUUAAUGUGUAAUCACUUGGACCAACCAAGAACAUGAUAAACUUUGUGAUAUCCUCAAACCCAUUGAUCUGAUUGUGCUCUGAUGUGGUAAAGUUACCCGAAGUGGUUUCAGUAAGUUUGCUCGUUCAUCUGACUUAAUUCUUGGACAAGCUCACGAGUUAUCUACUGUGAAUUUUAACAGUUAAUAAUAUUAUGUUUUUAAACGAACCCAUUCUAAUUUUUCUUUUGGUCUUUAUGAUUCAAUUUAUUCUGUUCUCAACCAUCAGGCUUUUGAUUUGUAGACUUGUAUAGUUGUUUGUCAAUCUUCAGAACUAAUUUCAGCUUCACUCAUAUGAAUGGAAUACAACAGUUUUCUCAAAAAAUAACUUGUUUAUCAAGGAUUUAGACAUGCACAAAUUUGCUAGUCUUUUCCAAAUACUUUCGAAAACAGCCUCUCUACCCUUUCCAGACCUCACUUGUGGGAUGUCACUGGGGAUGUUGCCGUUGUUGUUGUUCCAAGUUCAAAUCAUCGGUAACUAUAUGUUUAUUCUUGGACUCCCUAAUUGAAAAUUCUAGAUCUACCGCUGUCGUCAGCCCAUUUUUAUAAAGUUCUUACUCUUUUAUGUGUUCUUUCUUUGUAUAGAACUUAUACUAGGUAACUACACAACACAAUUUUUCAACGAAGAGUGUGCUGACUACCCUUUGAUAUAGGUGGCUCCGUCCAUGCUACAACUAAUCGAGUUACAAAACUAUAGUUCAAAACUCGUGACUUCUGCUGGACGAAGAACAAGAAUACAAAGGAAACAAAGAUGUGGGGGUUCGUACUUACAAUGAUCCAGGUGAACACAAUCAGUGGUGUACACAGAACUUCUUGUUGUGAACCCGGCUAUCAUAGAUAAUACUAAUGGGCCAGAUAUGCGUAUCAGAUCCUUCAAAAGGGGUUCGUUUUUGAAGGAUUUGAUCCGGCGAGGGCAUCUUUUUUGGAGAGUACAAGCAACAUAGAAAACGUCGGUUUUCAACUUUUACACCUUCAAUGAAGAUUCUAUGAGGCUGGAUAGCCCAGAGUUAAGAAUUAGCAACAUUGAGAAUUGAGUAAUCAUGUAACACUUGAAUUAUAAUCACGUUCUUGUACACCAUAGACAAAAUUAAACGCGAAAAGAAACACAACUAUUCACAGAAAUUUACAGGUUUCGACCAUCCAUGACGUACAAGUUAACAAGGAAACAAAGCGUAAAGUUGUGCAUUAAGAGAAUAUCAAUCGGAGGAUGGCCCCGGAGAACUUGAAUGACUUCUCUGUCUCUUCCAGACAAUGGUUCUUCUCCUCUCUAGUCAAGUUCUGAGCAAAAGCAUCGAUGAAAAUGGAUCAUGCUAAAUCGUUAAUUACAAGUUACGUGAAAGAAUAUGAUAAUAGUUUUAAAAAGCUGAUAGGAUUAUUCUUCUGCAACUUUGUUCAGCUUAUCUCUAACAUUCUGCAGCAGCUGAGAAAGGUCGCCGUCCCAUUUGUAGAAUUCCAGCUCUUUCUUGUCGAGUAUCUUUUCAGCUACCUAUAAAGUAAGAAGAAGCAAGAUUGUGGACAGUAACUGGUUGUCACGACCCGAGCUGAGGCCCUGGACGUGGCACGCACACGAUACUAUAGCUAGUUUGAGUGAACGUUCUGGCAUAUCACCCGAGCAUACUUCUAAUACAAAUGUAUAAAGCGGAAGUAAUAUAGAAUUCAAUUACGAUUUUCUAAGGAGAUAAAACUUCACCAAAGUUUAUUAAUACCGCAUAAUGUUCAACAAUACCAAUAGUUUUUAUAAAUGAAGACUGAAAAUUACAAAGUGUGCUUGACAACUACACUAGCCUGUGAAGCCUCUAAUAAGUACUAAUACUGAAAGGAAAGAAAAUACAAAAAAAUCAUCAUAUCUCAUCAAGCCUCCUGGUAGGAAAGAGGCUCACCAAUAAUAGAAGUUAGGAAUCCUAAUGAGGUGCCUGACCGCGGACUUGAGAGCCGGAACCUACAUCAAGAAACGAUGUAGCGCCGAAGAUGGUCAAUACGGGAAUGUAUUGGUAUGUAAAACCAUUGCAGAAGGGUAGUACAACAAAAGAUUAGAAGUAACAAUAAGAAUCAAAUAUAAGUGAAGACAUCUGGAAAGGAACAAGAAUGUAAACUAAAUUUAUAAUUGACAAUAUAAAGUAGAUUUAAAUUCCUUUGAUUAUUUGUGGGAGAGAGUAGUGAACCAUCAUAAACCACCAUGUGAGCACAUGGAGCCUGAUCUCAGCCCGACCAGCUAAGCUGUCCUAUACCUUGCCAGGCAUAGAACAUGACAUGACAUGAUUUGCUAGCAAGUAUCCAUGGUUAGCCCCUUUUUGGGACACAUGAAAAAAAGAGUCAUCCGACUUGCGGAAUAAUCUCUAUCCUAUGUCAGCAAACAUAGUUUUGGGCAUUUGUUGUUUAAAUCUAUGCCUUCACGGUCAGCUAACUAACUCCCUUAUGCCCAUGGCAUUGACUUACUUAUUUAUGUUCAAAGUGUUACCCUCGUUAGGCUCAUGUUCAUAGUUUAGCCGUUUUAGGCUCAUAUUCAUAGUUUAGCCGUUUUAGGCUCAUGUAUAUAAUUUNNNNNNNNNNNNNNNNNNNNNNNNNNNNNNNNNNNNNNNNNNNNNNNNNNNNNNNNNNNNNNNNNNNNNNNNNNNNNNNNNNNNNNNNNNNNNNNNNNNNNNNNNNNNNNNNNNNNNNNNNNNNNNNNNNNNNNNNNNNNNNNNNNNNNNNNNNNNNNNNNNNNNNNNNNNNNNNNNNNNNNNNNNNNNNNNNNNNNNNNNNNNNNNNNNNNNNNNNNNNNNNNNNNNNNNNNNNNNNNNNNNNNNNNNNNNNNNNNNNNNNNNNNNNNNNNNNNNNNNNNNNNNNNNNNNNNNNNNNNNNNNNNNNNNNNNNNNNNNNNNNNNNNNNNNNNNNNNNNNNNNNNNNNNNNNNNNNNNNNNNNNNNNNNNNNNNNNNNNNNNNNNNNNNNNNNNNNNNNNNNNNNNNNNNNNNNNNNNNNNNNNNNNNNNNNNNNNNNNNNNNNNNNNNNNNNNNNNNNNNNNNNNNNNNNNNNNNNNNNNNNNNNNNNNNNNNNNNNNNNNNNNNNNNNNNNNNNNNNNNNNNNNNNNNNNNNNNNNNNNNNNNNNNNNNNNNNNNNNNNNNNNNNNNNNNNNNNNNNNNNNNNNNNNNNNNNNNNNNNNNNNNNNNNNNNNNNNNNNNNNNNNNNNNNNNNNNNNNNNNNNNNNNNNNNNNNNNNNNNNNNNNNNNNNNNNNNNNNNNNNNNNNNNNNNNNNNNNNNNNNNNNNNNNNNNNNNNNNNNNNNNNNNNNNNNNNNNNNNNNNNNNNNNNNNNNNNNNNNNNGAAAUAGAAAAUACUUGUUGAAGAUUAUUGAGACCACGAUGUUAUUGACCGGAUAAGAUUUAGGUUCCAGAUUUAGCCAAAACCAGUCCAUACGUUAUGAAUACAUAAGCACUUGUUAAGACGCCAAGAGGAAAUAGAAAUAGAACUUGACAGGUUGAUUUGUUAUUAAUCUAAUUUCUGAAUUCAAACAUCUAUACUCCAUCUGUUUGGAAAGGAGAUUACAAAACAGAUUUGGAGAAUAAGAAAACAUCAUGAAACAUGAGCAAAAAAUGGUUCUACAUACCUCAAAACGUUUGAAGAACUUGAGAUCUGGAGAAGGGAUUAGACUUGUUUUCUUGAAUGAAUUUCAUCAGAUUCUUGAGAUUUGAGUUUUAGAGGAGGAAUAAGGAUGUUUAUUUAUGGAUAUCGUAUGAAAAACUGAUGGGCAAAAGUGAGGUUUUAUCCUGUGAAACUUGAAGAAGGCAGGGAGGUCUGUAUUGUAACAUGUAACUGAUGCAUAGUAAGUCUAGGAGUUUUAACGUAUAAAAUUAAUGGAGCCUUGGAGUAAUUGGUAAAGUUGCUGUCAUGUGGCCAGAAGGUCACGGGUUCAAGCCUUGGAAACAGCCUCUAGCAGAAAUGCAAGGUAAGGCUGCGUACGAUACACCGUUGUGGUGGGGCCCUUCCCCGGACACCGCGCAUAGCGGUAGCUUUAGGGCACCGGGCUGUCCUUUUUUUAGGUUUUUUUAGAUAGGCAUCAGUUUCGUUUGGACUCCAUCCUAUACAAAUCAAGUUUGAUUCUACAGAAGUUGUAAACAUGAUUAUACAUGAUAAUCCCAUUUAUAGUAAUAUUAUCUUUGAAUGCAGAUUACUGAUAAUGUAGUUGAAUGUUUCACCUCUCAUGCACACGUAGAGAAAGCAAAAUAGAGUCAUCGACCAUCUGGUCAUGAAAGGAAAAAUUGGAACAACGUCAUCGUAAUCACAAAUUUUGACAAUUCCUCCAUUAUAUUCAAUAGAAGCAGUGGCAGCAGAUAGUGUAGGAACUAUCUCUCAUAAAAAGAUUGUGGCUUGUAAUAACUGUUACUAAGAUCAAACUCUAGCCCGACCUGUUUUGAAUCAACCCACUCCCCACCCCAUGUCAAACAGUUAUAUUUCUCCCUAAUCAUUGAUUAAAUCACCCGUUUACCAAAAAAAAAAAACUAUAAAGUGGCGUAUGUGAAUGAUAAAGUGUUCAAAGACCUUAUUCUUAUUUUCAAUAGUUUCUCAUCUCAAGAAAAAAUAGUUCAAUGCAUUCCAGGAAAAAAAAAUAACAAAAGUACAAGAAAUAAAAGAUAAUACCAAACAACAGAUAGUAACAAAACAAUAACUACAAUAAAAUAAUAUAAUAGUUGAGGUAUAAGAAAUAACAGAUAAUAACAGAUUUUGAAGAAUAAGAAACUAUCAGAGCAAUUCUAUGAUUACUUAUAUGAAUCGACUGCAAGACCAGCAACACAUUACUACCUAUUAACCUUCUACCUUAAUUUGUAUCCUUCAUGCUCUUUUAUCUAAGGUCAUUUUCUCGAUAAGUUUAAAUUGUGUCACGUCAUGUCUAAUCACCUCUCGCUCUUCAGACUAUCUCUACCUCUUCUAAAAACAUCCAUAGUCAACCUCUCACACCUCCACAUUUGCGCAUCCAUGCAUCUUCUCUUCACAUGUNNNNNNNNNNNNNNNNNNNNNNNNNNNNNNNNNNNNNNNNNNNNNNNNNNNNNNNNNNNNNNNNNNNNNNNNNNNNNNNNNNNNNNNNNNNNNNNNNNNNNNNNNNNNNNNNNNNNNNNNNNNNNNNNNNNNNNNNNNNNNNNNNNNNNNNNNNNNNNNNNNNNNNNNNNNNNNNNNNNNNNNNNNNNNNNNNNNNNNNNNNNNNNNNNNNNNNNNNNNNNNNNNNNNNNNNNNNNNNNNNNNNNNNNNNNNNNNNNNNNNNNNNNNNNNNNNNNNNNNNNNNNNNNNNNNNNNNNNNNNNNNNNNNNNNNNNNNNNNNNNNNNNNNNNNNNNNNNNNNNNNNNNNNNNNNNNNNNNNNNNNNNNNNNAAUCUGCAGACAUUCAUUGUUCAAGGGCUGCCUGGUCAAUCAGUUAAAACUAUAACUUUUCCUGAGGAAAUUUGGGGACUAAUGCAAUUAAGGCAUCUCAAAGGGAGCAAAUUUUAUCUGCCAAAUCCCCCAAGCGUAUCUGCUGACAAAGGGAGUCACAAGGGUUUUUCAAACAUACAAACUACUUCUUACUUGUCUUCCCUUUGUUUCACGAAAAAGGUUAUUUCGGGGAUUCAGAAUGUUAAAAAAUUAGGCGGCAAGCUUUUUGACUUUGAGCUUCACAACAAUCUUGUCUAUCUACAGCAAAUUGAAAUAUUGAGUUUUAUAUAUUGUUAUCGUAUCCUUUCGCCAGUGACCAGUGUAAAAGCUUUUCCAGCAACGCUCAAGAAGCUGAAGUUAAGAAGUACUUAUCUAAGUUGGUCGUACUUAGACAUCAUAGCUGAGUUGCCUAACCUUGAGGUGCUGAAGUUGAUGUAUGAAGCUUGUCGUGGAGAAGAAUCGCAUCCAAUUGUUAGGGGAUUUAAUCGAUUGAAGUUUUUGUUAAUUGAAAGAAGUUUUUAUUUUCUAGUUUGUUGGGGGAUUUGGUGUAGCUUGUUUCGCUUCAUAACAUUGAUUUCUUUGUAACAAUUCCUCUUAACAUAUAUAUCACUUGUGUUGUUUUGGAGGCUUCCUCUUUGAGUUUUAAAUGAUGCAUAUUUAUGUUGUGGGAACUGGAUGAUGGUUUAGAUUGAAAACUCCAAGUAAAGCAAACAAUGUUAUAAAUAGUCCUUAUAAUCUGCUAUUCUAUCUCUUUAAUUACUACAUCAAAUCUCUAUAAUUACAAAUAUACUAUAAUAUAUAGAUUACAUUAAUAUAUACAACAUUCACUAUUAAUUCAUGAUCUUUGAGUUGUCUAUCAUGCUAACAGCACACAGAUCUACCCUCGCCUUGUGAUAGAUAGAGAGACUAUUUUCCGACAGACCCUCGUUCAAACACCACAAUAAGCCUUGAAAACACCAGUGCCUGCUUUUUGGACAUAUUUAAAAUACCCAACGCUUUCAUAGGGCUUAAAGAGUAAAGGAUGUUCUUCGUCAACAAGUUCUUUUGGGGAUUAUAAUUGAAUGGAGAAUCUAUCACUGUCUCUAGCCAUUGUUACCUUAUGAAUAGGAGAAUGUAGUCGACCAUUUAUCCCUGCCUGUAUAAUACAUUUUGCAAAAAAUAUUCUUUUAGAACUAGUUUUGGUAUUAUGACAUGUUACUGUAAUAAAAAAAAAUGUGUAUUUCCGACAUAUGUUUCCGUUGGAGAUAUGGGAUUUUUGACCGAAAAAUGUCACGACUCAAGCUGAGGCCCUAGACGUGACUUGCACUCCACACUAGUGAAGGCCACCACUAUCCAAGUAUCGAAUGCUACUAAGGCCACUAAUGUAGCAUUCUUCUUUGUUGGACUAAAUCCUGAGGCUAAGGCUCCUGACUCAUUCUUCUUUGUUGCACUUUUAGGCACCAAAAAAAAAAAAAAGAAAAAAAAUUGAUAGCGGCGAUAACAUAGUGAGCCAAACUUCUAGCGGGAGCAAAGUUAGACCUUUUCGCAAUAGGGGUCUUUCUCGAACUUCUUGCGAAUUAUGCGUUUCUAUUUGAUAAUUACUAACAUAAUACUUGUUAAGUUGUUAUAUGUCCCACUGAGUAAAAAGUUAAAAUACUUUGGGAAAAUGCUCUAUACCACCUUGAACUAUACGCGAAAAGGCUGAGACACACCCGAACUUUAGGAGGGUCCUAUUACCCCCUUUGGACUAAUUAAAACAGCACUUUUGAAAACCUUAGUACCUACGUGGCACAUACGUGACACAACACACUGAAGGAUCCACGUAGGCACACGUGUAUACAACAUAUGUGGCACGCAUAAACUAUGGAAGUGUAAGAAACACAUCUAAAUGAUCAUCUAUUAGUUUGAAACACACCUAAAAAUUAACUAGACUAAAUAUUCGUUUACAAACUCAUUUAGAUGUGUCUAGCCAUUAAAAAUUCGUCCACCGGGCAUAUUUUUAUUCUUUUUUGCUAACACAUUUUUUUAUUGAUUUUUAUUAAUUUUGAGGUGUGUUUCUCAAACUAGCGAGUGAUAGUUUUGGUGUGUUUUUCAUACGCUCAAUAAUUUAGGAACGAAAUUAAGAAAAAAGAAGGAAUAAUUGAGUCAUAUUCACUUUAUGAGUCAAAAGAUUUUCUUUCUUUUUUUAAAAUAAUUAUUUGACACCCUAUCUUAUUAGUUCUUUAUCGACUUAUUGGUCCAUAAAAUAUUAGUGGCAUAAGUGAUUGGUACAACAAAUUGGCCAAGGUCUAUUUUUACAUAAUUUCAUAAGUGAGAUUUGGAGAAGUCAAGUGUAUGUAGAUCUUAUUUCUACCUUACGGAGGUAGAGAGACUAUUUUUGAAGGACCCUCUCUCAAAAACAGUAAAUCAAAUUAGUUAUAAUAAAACAAACUAUAGUGAAGAAAAUACGACAACUAAUAAAAAAAGCAGGACAUAAAAUUCAGAGAAAGAACAGGAGAAUAAAAAUAGUAUGAUGCCAAUUGAAACACAAUAUAAUCAUUUUUAACUUUAUUUUUAAAGAAGAUAAGUCUAAAGUUGCUACGACAUACUCCAACUUCGCAGGGGUCCUAUUACCCCUGAACUCAAUUUUAGCAUAUUUUUAUCACCCUUUUGUGCUGACAUGACACCUUUAUUACAAAAAAUGAGGCCCACGUCAAUUGUGCCAUGUCAACUAUAAAGGUUGAUAAAAGGUGCCACGUAUCUAAAAAGAAUGACAAAAAUACAUUAAAAUUUAGCUCAGAGGUAACAGAACCUACGUGUAAUUGGAGUAAAUCGUAGCAAAUUUGAUCAUGGUUCAUGAAGCUUCUAAAUGCUUUACUUUUCUUAACGUAUAAUAAAGGUAUAUAUCAAAGUAAUCAUCUUUUAGUAACUUUUUAUCUUAAAAGUACAACUGAUGUAUACUUCCACUUAAAUAGAUAAAACCACUUUCCCCACAUACAACAAUAAUUGAAGUUCUCAUCCCAAUUUAUCACAAGGCAAUAAAAAUUAAUACUACCAUUUUAGUCAUUCUGAGAGGUAUCCAUUUUUCUCUUGAUUACUGCUAGCAUAUCUUUUGUGUUUUAAACCUUUUCUUCAUAUAUUCAUAUUUGUGUUUUUUAUGUUCUUAUCUUAUAGUAUAUUGUUGUAGUGAUCAGUUGCUUCUUCCCAACUAUUGAAUGGUUAGUUUCCCUAAUCUAAUAACUAUUAAUUGAGUGAACACAUAAGUUUAAAUUAUGGUGUCACUGUGUAAGAACAAUGUAAGUAUAUCUCAGAGUCUGAAUAUAAAACUGCUGAUCCAAAACUACAUAAAUCUGUCAGCGAAUACAAAACCCGACAUAAACCUAGAUAGGAUGAGGUAGGAGGUCGACUCUAGAAACAUAGAGCAGUCACUACCUCGGAUAUAACAAGUCUCCGCCCGAACUCAGCAAUCGUGCGGUGCACUCGUACUUAGUUCUGCGCCAAAAGGGUACAGUUGGAAUGAGUAUGGUCCACUUGUACUCAGUAGGUAUUAUAGGCAGAGCGAGCAAAGUAGAAAAUAAAUUAUAUAAGAUACACACUAUGGAAACGUCACUGCAAUCAAAAAAGAUCCCAAAUGAUAUCCCACACUGUCUCCACUGACAGUUCUAAUAUAAUACAUAUACCAAGUACAAUUACGAAAGAAGUGCAGAAUAGUUAGACAUCAAAUCAAACACGCAGGUACAAUCACAAAGAGUGCAUAAUGUAUGAAAUGCAAUGAGAACGUGUCACGAUCCAAACCGGGGCUCUGGCCGUGACGAGCAUUCCCGAACCGUGAAGGCCCAGGACGCCCUCUGUCUAUCUGGUAAUCAUGCACAACAUUCAUGUAAUAAAAGAUAAUGCGGAAAUUAAAAUCUAAUACGGAAACAUGGUCAGUCUAAAUGUUAUCAUAAUACUGAAAAAUUGUAAUCCAAAAUAUAUCUGGAUAAUAAUAAUGUCUAACUCAGUCUAUGAAAUCUCUACUAUGAACUAAACAAAACUGUCUGAAAACUGGGACAAGGCCACCAGUAGACCAAAACAUGACUAAAGAUAAAUAUCUGAAAGUAAACAGGCCUUUUGAAAUAUAGAAGGCUCACCCCUGGACAAUCUGCUCUACGAUCUGAAAUAUCUACUAUUUAUCUGGACCCCUAGACUGUGUCUCAAAACCUGGAAGAAGGGAGGGGGGUUAGCACAAAUGUAUUGGCACGCGAAACAAUCCAAAAUAAAGUAUUUGAACAUAUAUAUAAUAGAUGAGAUCAAUUUUCAUCAACACAUCACAUAUAAAAUAGCUUCUGAAAACACAUGGGUUUUAUUUAAAAUCAUAAGACAUUCUUGUCAAAGCAAUUUCUGAUCUUUGUAUUACUUCUAGUUAGGUGGCACUCCCCUACAAGUCUGCUAUUCCACGGGCUAUACGAAAUCCACUAUUGACUCGGCGGGGAAGCCCCCAACCCAAGUGUGCCACAAGGGUUGGAGUGUCUGAGUCUGAUACACCACACGACACUUAAGCCAGCGUACAAUAAUAUACCUGGAUCGGCAAAUCACAGUUUUAGACAAUGAGUUGUCUGAACUCACGCCUUCUUUGGGGACCACCUAACAUCUCUUUAUGCCCAAUUUUUAACCUUUUCUGAACAUGUAUCAUUCUGAAAUUUCUUAAUCAUGAAAGUAUGAUAAAAUCUGAUUUCUGAACUAGUCUGUGUCUGUUAUGGCAUUUUUCUGAGUUUGUNNNNNNNNNNNNNNNNNNNNNNNNNNNNNNNNNNNNNNNNNNNNNNNNNNNNNNNNNNNNNNNNNNNNNNNNNNNNNNNNNNNNNNNNNNNNNNNNNNNNNNNNNNNNNNNNNNNNNNNNNNNNNNNNNNNNNNNNNNNNNNNNNNNNNNNNNNNNNNNNNNNNNNNNNNNNNNNNNNNNNNNNNNNNNNNNNNNNNNNNNNNNNNNNNNNNNNNNNNNNNNNNNNAUUUCAUGUAAAUCGUGCUCUCAAUUCAUAUUUCAAGGCAAAACACAUAUAUACAUAUACAUAUAAUUUUCAAGUCACUAUGGGGGAAAGCCAAAAGGCUAAAACAAUAUCAUUUAAAGCUUCUAAAACAUGAAUAUAUACAUGAAUUCAAAAACCCCUUUCUUAAAACAUGAUAUCUAUGCCCAUGAGAAUUUAGAAAAACCCCGCAUACCUCUAUUUAAGAAAUUGAUAGAUGAUCCUUGAAGCCUACGAUGUGGAGAUUCCAAAUCUCUAAUUAUCUUCCAAAACCCACGGUUGAAUCUUGAGUUAUUUGGGAUUUUUGUUUGAAACCCUAAGGGGGUGUUCUUGAGAGAAAAUUUGAGAAAAGGAUUAUAUUUUGAUGAAUUGGGAGCUAAAUCUAAUGUUAUAGACGAAAUUUGGGUGAGGUGAAAUGACUAAAAUGCCCCUAAGAAAACAAACAAAGUCGAAACUGUCCCUCAGUUGAUAAACUGACAGGCUGAAGUAAAAUGGGUAUAACUCCUUACUAAGAUGUUGAAUUUGGAUGAAGCCUAUUGCAUUGGAAAGAAAACUCAAAUAGCUUUCAUUUGAUAUGUAGCAGCUCUCCCAAUUCAUUAUAUUCAAAGAGUUAUGAUCAUUUGAAAUUGACCCUGAAAUGUUGAAAACUAGGCAACAGGCUAUGCAUUUUGCUACUGUUUUGAAAUCCAAACGCAGCCUUAUGCGUUCUAAAAAAAUUUCGAAACUUAUCCGAGAUGUACUAUGAACUUGUCCGAUCGUAACGCAAUGAUGAUGUUGUAUGAGAGGUCGGAAAGGUUGAAAAGUUGUAUCCCGAAGAUUGCCAGCUAAAAUGACUCUAAGUCCUCAUUACACUUAGAAAAUUUUCAAGUUUUAAGUCUAAGAGCACUCUAUUAAAGGCUAAUCCAUGCACGACUUUUCCGGGGUGUUACAGAAUGAUAAUAAUGAUGUGAUAAGUCUGAGGUUGUCGCUAGAGGCGGAUCCAAGAUUUAGAGUCUCCGGUUGUUAAAUGGAUUCAUUGAUUAAAUCAAUUGGAGACUCCAAAUCCUAGAUCCGAGCCAACUUAUGGACAAGAGGUUCAUUGAAUCUCCUUCGGCUAAAAACUAUACUAUUUAUACAUGAUUAAAUUUUAUUUAUUUAUUUAUAUAUAGUAAAUAUUGAACCCCUGAUUUUGGCUACUUACAAAAAUCUUUUCAUAGUUACAUUGUAUAGGAAUUAUUAAACUUGGUUGCUUACAACAUAAUACAUAUUUAUGACCUUAUAACUUUGAUCUUAAACUUUGAUAGUGCACAAAUAGGACCUUUAACUAUUCAAGACCUAAACAAAUAUGACCUUUGAUUUUGCAACCUCCAUUCGUGAGUUUCACUUGCACCUACGUGGAUAUGUAAUUCAAUCAUACCGUGCCACAUCAUUAAAAGGGCUGGCAGGGAGGACUUUUGAUUUGGAAAUUAAAACAAAGUCGUUUUGCUUCUAUAAGUUAAAACGACAUUGUUUUUAUUAUUAUUAUUAUUAUUAUUAUUAUUAUUAUUAUUAUUAUUAUUAUUAUUAUUAUUAUUAUUAUUAUUAUUAUUAUUAUUAUUAUUAUUAUUAUUAUUAUUAUUAUUAUUGGCUGAAGGAAACGCUCAAGAAGAGCAAAUAAGACCACUGGGCUAUCUAAGUGCCUUGUUUCAUGUGAUUCAACAUUAAUAUACGUACAUAAAUAUACAUUUUCUAUCUUAUAUAUAUACAACGUAAUUUUUUUACUGAGGGGGUUCGGGUGGACCCCAUGGCAACCACGUAGGUCCGCCCCUCGUUAAUUUAAUAAAGUUUUAAUAACAUUAAUUUAAUAACGUUUUAAUAGCGUUAAUUUCAUAAAGUUUCAAUAUCGUUAAUUUAAUAAUUUUUUAAUAACAUUAAUUUAAUAAAAUUUUAAUAACGUUAAUUUAAUAAUGUUAAUUUAACAACGUUAAUUUAAUAACUUUAAUUUAAUAAUAUUUUAUUAAAACUAUAAUUUUUUUAUUUAUUAUUAGUAUAGUUUUAUCUUUGAGAUGAAAAUUAUGGAAAAAAAUAGUGAAAAGUCAUUUAAAUAUAUAAAAAGGAAUUAGUAAGGGCAUAAUAGUUAUUUUACCCUUUUUUUACUGUUGGAACGCUCAAAUUUUUAGUCCAACGCGCCAAGUUUUGCGUGUACAGCACGCAUUUUUUCACAUAGGAUCGGAGGUCAUAUUUGUACAGUUUUGAAUAGUUAAAGGUGAUAUUUGUGCACUAUCAAAGUUUAAGGUCAAAGUUAUAAUAUGGUGUCAAGUUUAAGUUUGUAUUUAUGUAUUACUUUUUAAAGUUGCACUGUAUAUUAUUAAACUUGAUAAAAAACAAGCUGUUAGAAAGUUUUGAACCCGUUGGGUGAAAUAAACAACCCUUUACCACCUGAACUACAGAUGACUUCAGUUCUUUCGGCUGCAAGUUUAUUAUUUAUAUAUAUUGUUUAUAGAUAUAUACUUUAUAUAUAGAGUUCCGUCAAAAUUUGCGGGUGGUGUGGCUCCCCAGAACCCUUAAUUGAUCUGCCCCUGGUUGUCGAACAACCUCCAUAUACACCUACCGAGCACUGCUCCGAACUAAAAAAGUUUAGAAAAGAUUGAGUUUGAGCUUUGAAUCUUGAACUCUAUGUGUUCUUGCUUCUAAGAAUAUUUGGGAGGAAGAAAAUGAGGGAUUUUGAAAAUUUCUACUAGUUUAAGAUGACUUUAGGGUUAUAAAGCGGAUUGGGAAAGUUACAUGGGAUGAAAGGACAAGUUUACCACUAAUUUAAGAAGAGAAAAACAGACUUUUACGGCGGACAGGUAUGAUCAACUGGCUCGAGCUCCUCUCCAUGCUGGGAUGCUACCUCACUAAAAUGUUCAUAACUUUUUUGCUUGGGACUUGUAUUGAUAAAUGGUCGGUGCCGUUGAAAAGAAGACUCAAAAACCUUUAAUUUGGUAGGUAGUAGGCCACCAAAAUCAUUAUAUACAAGGAUUAAUGAUCGUUGGAAGUUGACCCAAGUAAGAAGGAAAGUUCUCAACUCAAUUUUGAGCUAGGAGAUUUCUAUGACCUCAAUUCAUCUGCAAAGAUGUUAGAUACUAAAGAAUUGAUCCUCACACUUAUAAAAUAAAGGGAAAUAUAAAUUAUUGGGUUCGGGUUUAUACAUGCAUAAAGGACGGUUAAAAUUCUUGCUCGAAUGUGUGGGGUAUUACACAAAACAAGGGUACGGUACCAAUUUACAUUUCAAACUGAAGACUAAUAAAUUACAAGAUCAAAACUAUUUUAGAAAUUGUGAAUAGUGAAGACUAAUAAAUCACCUAAUCUUAUUUACAUUAUGCGUACCUUUUUUGCCAAUCUGUGUAUCACGUUACCUAUAAUACCAUUGACCUCUUGCAUCUUGCAGCUUUCAGGUCAUAAUCGCAAAGGCAAACGUGAAUAUAGAAGAUAUGGCUCAUGCAAGUGUGGCGUCUAUUAUGAGAACAAUAGAAUCGCUCUUGACAUCCAAUUCGCCGAUGCAAUCUCUGAUCUGUGAUCACAGUGAAGACUUUUCUGCUUUUCAUGGAAAGAUUAGUUUCCUGGAAGUAGUUGUCAAGAAAUUUGAGAAGACCAAUAUCUCUGGGGAACUGACAAAUUUUGAAUUACAGAUAAAAGAAGUUUCAAAUAUUGUUGAACACACAAUUCAACUAAGAGUAACUGAAGUUGUAUUGGCAGAUGAUGAAAAUCUGAGAGAAAAGGCACAAGAGAGGCUUUCUGAUAGCCUGCAACAAGCAGCAAAGGAUAUUGAUCGUAUCUGGAAAGAUUCAACAAUGAUUCAAGAUAAAGGGAACGUGAUGAAUUUUCAAUGGUUCAAGAUUUUUCAGUGCUUCAUGAUUUUUCAGUGGUUCAAUAUUUUUCAAUGGUUCAACAAAACAUCAAAGGUAUCAACAGUUCAAGACUUUCCAAGCUCAUCAAGAAAUAUUCUGAAUGUUGAGUAAAGUAUGAUUGGAAGUGAUGAUCAAAGGAAACGGUUGGUAGAAGAUCUUACUAGAAGCUACUCUGGUGAAACCAAAGUCAUCCCAAUUGUCGGGAUGGGAGGCAUUGGUAAAACAACUUUAGCGAACGAAGUUUACAACGAUGCGUGCAUUCGUUCUCAAUUUGAUGUUUGUGCCUGAGAUACUGUUUCUCAACAACAAAAUGUAAAGGAAAUCUUGUUGACAAAGUUUUCAUGGGCAGUGAGGCAGAGCUGGCAGACAUGCUACAAAAGAGUUUGAAAGGUAAGAGAUAUUUAAUCGUAUUGGAUGACAUGUGGAAAACUGAAGCAUGGGAUGCCGUGAGACUAUGUUUUCCAAGUGAAAACAAGGGGAGUGGAAUAUUAUUGACGACCCGUAACACUGAAGCAGCCCGCGAUGCUGGUACAAAGAAUCUUUCUUUGCAGAUGGAUUUAAUGGGUCCGGAUGAGAGCUGGAGUCUUUUCAAAAGUGUAGCAUUUUCAAGUGAGAAGACUUAACAUCUGAUUUGGAGACAAUUGGGAAGCAAAUUGCUGAGAAAUGUCAUGGGUUACCACUAACUAUUGUCGUGGUUGCUGGACUUCUCAAAUCAAAAAGGACAAGAGAAGCUUGGGAAAGUGUUGCCAAAGAUGUCACGUCAUUUGUCACAAAUGAUCCUGAUGAACGAUGUUCACGUGUGCUUGGGUUAAGUUACAAUCACUUGACCAGCGGCCUAAAAACGUGUCUUCUGCAUUUCGGAAUUUUCCUAGAAGACAGUGAGAUACCAACGAAGAAAUUGAUGAGAUCAUGGAUGGCUGAGUGGUUCCUGAAGUUGGAAAAUGAUUUGGAAGGAGAGGCUGAGAAGUGUUUGCAAGAGCUUGUCGAUAGAUGUCUAGUCCUCGUCUGCAAGAAAAGUCGUGAUGGAACAAAAAUUAGAUCAUGUAAGGUACAUGAUCUAAUAUAUGACUUGUGCGUGAGAGAAAUUCAAAGGGAGAACAUUUUUAUCAUGAACGACAUUGUGCUUCAUUACUCAUAUUCAGAUUCAGAAUCUGAAUAUCUCAGUAUGCAAAAAAUGCAGCCCUUUAAACGCGUGAUUGGUGAUGAAAUUAAUUAUUGUCCCUUUGGUCUUUAUAGGGCUCUUCUUACCCCUGUACAUUGUCAGUUGAGAGAUCAUGACAACAACGAUCUUUUGAAACAAACCCGUUCUAUUUUCCCUUAUCAUCUUACGGCUUCAUUGUUUAUUCUCAAAUCAGAGCUUAUUCAUUUCAAAUUACUCAGAGUCUUGGAGUUGAGACACGUAGAGAUUGAUAAUUUCCCUGUUCAGAUACUAAGCCUCAUCUGGUUGAGGUACCUAUCAUUGCAAUGCUGUGGGAAUUUAAACAUACCUCCAGAAAUUUGCAGGUUAUGGAAUCUGUAGACAUUCAUUGUUCGAGUUCACCCAAGUCAAUUAGUUAAAAUAACUUUUCCUGAGGAAAUUUGGGGACUAAUUUAAUUAAGGCAUCUCAAACUGCCCGAAUUUUAUCUGCCAAAUCCCCCAAGCGUAUCUGCUGAUAAAGGGAGUCACACGGGUUUUUCAAACAUACAAACUAUUUCUUACUUGUAUGCAUGUUGUUACACGUACGAGGUUAUUAUGGGGAUUCAGAAUGUCAAAGAAUUAGGAAUCAGUGGAUAUUGGAUUGAAUCAGGACAUUAUGGGGCAUUGGAUAGCUAUCUAAUGCAUCUUCAAGUUUUUCUAGCUAGUGCAAAAGUUUUUCCAGCAACGCUCAAGAAGCUGAAGUUGGAAAGAACUUUGAUAAGUUGGUCGUACUUGGACAUCAUAGCUGAAUUGCCUAACCUUGAGGUGCUAAAGCUUAUGGGUGGUGCUUGUAGUGGCAAAGAAUGGUAUCCAAAUGUUAGGGGAUUUACUCGAUUGAAGGUUUUGUUAAUUGAAGAUUAUCUUCUAGAGUACUGGAAAGCCAUAGAUGACAAUUUUCCUGUCCUUGAGCGCCUUGUGCUUAAACAAUGCAGAUAUUUGAAAGAGAUACCCAUUGAGUUUGCAGAAAUCCCCACACUACAACUAAUUGAGCUGACAAGUUGUCUUCCCGAACUUGCGGAAUCUGCUGCUCGAAUUCAACAAGAACAAGAAGAGCUCGGAAACAACCCCGUGGACGUUCGUAUUUCCGAUUCAUGUAAGUAUACUGUUUCUCAUUUCUCCAAGUCAAGUCGUAUACAAAAGUUAUUUACCUUUGCCCCAUAUUCUUUCACAAAAAUAACUUUGACAAAAUUUGGUUAAAACUCUACUUAAAAUGUAAGAGAAAUUAACAAGAAUAUCUCUUAUAUUUGAGGAUAGUUCAAAAUUUUCUCUUAAAUAUAUUUUUGAGCAGUUUUGAUACUUUAGUUUAAGCUUGAUAAAUGUGAGCACAUUUGAUCUAAUUGUUACUCAUAAAGUGGGCAAAUGGGCUGUUUGGGCCGAAAUUGGGCAGGUUAAGAUGGGUUGAAUGAACAACUGAGCUAAUGUCCAACCCUGCCAUUAAAUAACAAUAAAAAUAAAAUGAAAAAUGAAGAGUAGAUGUUUGCUCUCUUUGUUGCCAUUGCACAUGAAUUUUAAGGUAUCUAUUGUAUAAAUUCCAGUAAAAUGAGGUUUACUUGGAUUCAAUUGAUCUUUUAUUGUAGACACGUAAUUUUGUCCCCCUCAAAAGUUCGAUUUUAUUCAUUUUUACCUUAUCAUAUCAUGUACUCUCACCCACGUGAUUGCAUCCCACAAAAAAUACAAAAAAAAGUAACUCUCAACAAAAUCUCUAACAAACUUUUAUUCUUUUAACACUCUAACAACCCCUUCCAAUAAGAAAAUGACAAAUCACCAGCUCACCACUACCCCUACCACACGUGACCCACCUACGCUACCCUACCCAUUUUACACGUUUUGAACCCAGGGAAUACACCAUAUAUUGAGAGAGAGAUUCCAUUUUUCAGGAAGGGAGCACGAUCAGUAAAAAAAACAACAACAAAAAAAAAAGUAGCAGAAUUUUUUUUUUCUUUUCCUCUUCAGAGACAUCAGAUCAUCUUCUCCAAAAAAGGAUUCCUCCAUUUUUGGAGUUCAAUAGAAACAAAUCUCACGCUUUUACCAUCAGCAGUCACCGGUGCGACCUGAACUCCCUCCCGCAAGUUGUUGUAUCAGUCGCCGGCGAUCUCGGAAACCGAAGACGAGACCGGAAAAGAUAGGUGAAAUGACGUCAUUAUCGGCGUCGCCUCUGUGUUCACUGCCGCUGCUGAUGUAACCGAGCUCCCGGAAAUAGCCUCCGCCGGCGCAAGCUCUGGCGUCUCAGUUGGAAUUCGUCGUUUGUCCGUCAUCGGUGUCACGUCUGAAUCAUACGGAUUCUGUUUUGGUUUUUCUAGAGUUCAACCUCUGUUUUGGUUUGAUUCCGACCAUUUCGGGUUCGAUUUCGUCAUGUGCAGGGUCAACUUUGGUCUGUUCGGUUUAAUUCUGGUCAGUUCGGUUUAGUUUCAGCUCGUCGGGGGGGUUUGUAUUGAAUACUCUCAAGUCGUUUUCAUGGAUUUUGGUAUUUGAAUCGGAAUGUGAAUUCGGGUUUUGUACCGAAUUGGUUCGUCGUUGAGGUUCUCUAUUCAGGAUUUCAGUCCGGGUUCUCUUAAACAUUAUUAUUAUCAACAAAUCUGUUCUUCGAAGGUCCAUCUCUUGACUCUACUCUUUUAUCUCGAAAUUGGUUAAUGUCAUAAGUUUGUGGUGUGGCUUUGAAUAUUUUGAGCAAAAAUAUUAACUGUUGGUGUGGAUGACUUGUAUGCCUAAGUUCGAAUCUUCGUUGGAUGUAUAUGCUUGAAGUUGAUUUUAGAUUUUUGAAAAAAAUGGUUUGAUAAUCGGAAAAUUUGUUAAUCAUGGCUUGAGGAUUAAACUUGUUGAUUUGGGGGUCAGGAUCGAAAAAUUGAUAAUCGAAUAAGUUGAAGGUUGUUUGCUUUGAUUCAUUACUGAAUAUUGUCGAAUUGGAUAGUAUCAUGAUAGAUCGAGUGGGUAGUCAAUCGUAGGUUCGGGUAGGCGAAAUUUAGGAAUAAGUGUUUCGUGGGGUGUUGGAAUGUUUGGAAUAUUUGUUGAAUGUUUUGUUUAUCGUAGUUGAAAAGUGUAUUAUUUAACCGGGGAAUGCCCCGAGGUAAUUUGUAUUCACUCACUGGGGAAUGCCCCGAAGAAUUUUGUACGCAAAGGAUGCUCGUGAUCAAGGCCCGAGGCAUCGGGUAAAGCAUAGUUUAGGACUAGUGUGGGUUAUUUCAGUAUUUUUAUUUAGGGUUGUAAUAAUUGGACUGGACUUUACAUUUUUGUUUGUUUUUGCUAUUGUUUGAUUAUUUUGCGUGCUUUGUGUGGUUUAUGCAUUUGUAACGUCAAUUUAGCCAAUACGCUUUGCCAAGCGACCGUGGUCAAACCACGGGAUUGAGGGGUGCCUAACACCUUCCCCUCGGUCAAUAGAAUUCCUUAGCCGGAAUCUCUGUUCGCAAACCAGUUUAAAGAGUCAAAUGGUUUUUGGAAAGGAUUUUCUAAUGGUGACUUGGCACACCGAAUUAUGCCAAGUGGCGACUCUGAGUAAAAAAUGUAAAUAAUCCUUUUCCGAAAUAAAUUUUUAUUUUUUUGUCACUUUAAUAAUUAAAACCCUUUUGACCCUUAAAACAUUAAUUUUUUUUUACGUAAAAAAAGGGUGUGACAUUUAUGAUAUAAUUGAAAUAUCAAGAAGUGAAAUACUUUGUAUUAAUUUUAUCAUGGUAAGUAUAUAUUUAUGAAGGUUACACACAGUUUCUCAUUUUCACGUCACAUCAUACAGUGCAUGAUGAAGAAGUUUAUUAUCUUGAUGCUGCAGAAGAUGACGAUGAUGAUGAUUCAGAUGUUGAUGUUGCAGAAGAUGAUGAUAAUGAAGAUUUUGAUGCUGAUGCUACAGAACAUAAUAAUAAUUACGAUCGUAAUUGGUUGUUCAAUGUUCAAUGCCAGCCCUGCUCAUGAUGUGGGAGUUCUCAAAUACGCAGUAUUGCAUUUCUUAGGUCACCUAAUUUUGAGUAUUUGUAUUUGUUUUCUGGCUCAAGUAUUCAUAGCUGUUAUGUAAUCAAUGAUCUACUGAUGAGCCCAUCUUUGAAAGCCUUGGUAUGGGCCUUGCCAUCAAAUUGAAAUAACUGCUCCUCUUUUGAGGAAAACGUUGUUCCGAUUAGUCUCAUUCAUGUGAAUAGGUUCCUGCUCUUUUGCACUAUUACAUAUAUAUUAAUUUUGCACAGUUGCUGAUUAAUAGACUUGCCUAUGCUAAUGCUAUCAUUCAAUUUACAGCUUACUAUGUGGUUGUUGAUGAGUCAGUUGGAAGAGAAUUUGCAAUAGUCUUUUUGGAGUGUGUUAAAAUGAUUUUGGGUCAAACUAUGGGGAUGAAAACGUAGUAACAACUCGUCCAAAUAACCUGAACAAGGAAUUCAGAUAAUUUAAAAUUAAAAUUUACUUUAGUAUUAUGUAAAGGCAGAAGGCAGAAUUUUCUAUUAAGUCAUUUAAUUGCAGUACUCUCUUAAGUAUAUUCCUAAGUUUAUGAAGCAUAUGCAGUAUUGUGCUGAACAUCCUGAAGAAGUAAUUGUUGUGUUCUAUGACUUUUUCAGAGUGGGAAAGAUGCCAGUCAGCGACACUGAAAUUGGUGAAUCGCAUAUUGCUAGCACCAUCUAUGCUACUUUGCCACUUGUCUUUUUUUUCACUAACACCUUCAAGAUUGAGCAUUUCUCCAACCCUCCCUCUGUGUUCUAGUGCGUGUUCAAUCAAAUUCCAAGCUCAUUUUAAAAGAAUCACAUCUUUUAUGUCUUUAUAGUGUUGAGGAGGUCAAGAAUGACCGAAAAAAGUUGAGUUUUGGGGUUGGAACUCAGAAAACGGUGAAGCUGCAGCAAUAAGAUUGCAAUAGCUGAGAAGUACAUGAAGUAUAGGGACUCUAAACAACCGGUUGGGGUUAGAGUUAAAGAUCUUCUUGAUCAAAUGAUCCUUGAAGAAAGUAUAGGCCAAAUAAUUUUGAUUGAUAAGUCUGAAUCUAUAAUUAUAAUCAUGAAGCACUACUAUUAUGUCGGAACAUUUUUAAAUCUUUAAAAUACAGCCAUUUCCAUAUUUUUAAUUUAUUUAUGAUACAUUUUGGUUGCAUCUAUUUGUUCUUCUAUGGUUGGUUUUCUUAAUUUUUGGAGAUUCGAUAAUGUUAUUCUAUAUGAAAUAGUAAGCCGUGUUUACUUGGAUUACUACUUAAGUUACAUCUUACAUCUAUAUAGUUUAUAUAAUUUGCAUAUUUGUUUACAAUUUUUUUUGUUUCAUUUUAAAUUCCUUAUUAGUUAUUGUGUGUUACUUUUCUCAUAGUUGUUUUUAGUAUAAUAGUCAUUGCUUUUAUGACUUUUGUUUUGAUUAAACUUCAAUCAUCAAUAAAUGAGUUUUCUUUAUUCGACGUGCAACAGUUUUAGAUCAAAUUAUAUAAGAAAGAUAAUUUUUUGAAAAUUUAUGUCUUUCACCAAGUAAUCAUUUUUUUUUUAUUAAAAAAAAGUUGAGAUAUGAUUUGGGAAGCGCUAUCUACAAGAUAGUUUUGUAUUUAUUGUGUUCGAGACAAACCAUAAUACCUAUGGUAUUUGAAUGUAGAUUAAUUUUAGGAGGUCCAAAUUCUGAGAUUUCAACAAACUGUAUGGGAUAUAAAUCAGCCACAAUAAAUAAUGCAAUAUGAAAUAAAAUAGUUAUUUUGAUAAUGAUUGUACAUGAUAAAAGUGUUAGUGGAUUUCUUUCUUUGAAGUUAUCCGCGCAUCGUGCGGGUACGUAUACAAGUUAAUAAUAAAAUAGGAAUACAAAAUUUGCAAAAAGGUCGAGCAAGGCCCUUGUACUUUGCAGAAAGGUCGAACUUUGCCCCCUGCUAAAAGUUUGGCUCACUAUGUUAUCGCCUAUAUAAUGUUGUUGCCAGGUAAAUAGGAGGUGAUGGAUUUAAGCCGUGGAAAUAACCUCUAGAAAAAAUUGUAGGGUAAGACAGUAUACAAUAGAUCCAUGUGGCCUAAUCCUUUUCCAAACAAGUUGUCUUCGUUACAAUGUUGUUGCCAUGUAAAUAGAAGGUGAUAGGUUCAAGCGUGGAAACAAUCUCUUGAAAAAAAAUGUAGGGUAAGACAAGUUUCCAAUUAGCAAAAUGACCUACUUCAAUUUUCUCAUCUGUCAGAUUGGUAAUCGAUAUGUCCAUAAAUAGAUCGGAUUGAUAAUCAAUCUGUCGGAUUGAUUAUCGAUCUGUCCAUAUAUUGGUCGAAUGAAUUAUCGAUUGAUCGGAUCGGAUCGAUAUUCGAUCUGUCUAUAUAUUGGUCGGAUAGAUAAUAGAUCUGUCUAAAAAAAGGAUCAUCCCCCCCUCAAAAAAAAAAAAAAACUUGUAGUCUAUUUAAUUAAAAAGAAGACAUGAAAAAACCAUUUAACAAGGAUCCGGAUAAAAAUACCAAAUGGAACUACAAUAAAUACUUUCAAGGAGAAAAAUAUACUAAAGACACAUGCAUAUGAGUUUUUUUCAAGGAACAAAUUCAUGAAGCAUAAAGGAAAAUUGCAUUACCUCUAACGGAGAUUGAAAAGUGAAAUUGUGUUUGCUAUCAAAGUUACACAAAAUAAGUCGUAUAUAUAUAUAAAAAAAAAGUUGACUUUAAAGAAAUGGGAUGACAACUCCAAUAAAUUGACCUUGGGAUUUAUGUCUAUCAAGGAAAAUAUAAUAUUAUAACACAUCUAUUUUUUAACUUCUCCCCCUUAUAUUUUACUAGUGGCGGAGCCAGAAUUUUCGUUAAGGAAAUUCAGAAGUAAACAUAUGAACUAAUAGAAGGUAGUUCAACAUCUACUUUAUAUACAUAAAAAAUUAUUUUAACUAUGUAUAAAUAGUAUAAUUUUUCAUUGAAGUGGGUUCUAGUGAAUCCCCUCGGCCAGUGUAGCUCCACCCCUGAUAGUUACUGCCACAUCUAGAUAGCGAUGGAGGCAUUGAUUUAAUUGACUAGUUAUUCAAUUAAAAGAUUGUCAGUUCGAGUCACCAAAGAGAAAAAAAAAAUUAGAGAAUAGGUAAUGGCUUAAAAUUAAAUUGAGGGUCAUAUAUUAUGUGUAAUAAUUAAGAUUUUCUACAGUCCCCUGGAUAUACGUAUGUGCAAGCAAAUUACUGAAUUAUUAAUGCCCAAAUGAGUAGUAUUACUAACAAUUCUAUUAACUCAUAAAUAUGUUACAAUAAAAAUCCAGCCACAUUACUACAAUUUAGAGAAAUCAUAUCUACUUGAAAGCUGCUGCUGUGUGACCCGAAGUUCACUAGUUCAAGAUGUGGAAACAGCCUCGUGCAAGAACGCAGGGUAUGACUACAUCCAAUAGAUCCUUUGGUCUGAGCCAUCCUCGAAUCCUCAGACACAAAGGAACCUUUAGUGCAUGAGGCUUCCCUGAAAAUGAAAGAAAAACAAGUCUAGAGACAUGAUUCCCCCCUUGAAAGAAACAUAAAGGAUCAGUAGAAGUUCGAUGAGUCACAUUAUUUCGAUGCAGAUUUAGAGCGUGUUCAACCAAAUUUACAUCUUUUACCUCUUAACUUCAUGUGAACAAACACAGACAUAUGGUGAUCAUAUAAAAGUGUGACAAACAUUCUGAAUCCACUGACUCUAAAUUAUGGAUCAUCUCUACUAAAGCAUCUUGAGAGAAUCAUACAGGGAUUUAUAUUCAUAUCUAUAAUCUAUAUAUAUACAUAAUAAUUAUUACACCAAUUAAACAAAAUCAUCAUCCAGUUCCCACAAUAUAAAUUGUUCCAUGAAGGAGUAAAAGUACUCCACAAUAAGAAUUAACAAGCCAGAAGAUAAUACAACAUAAAUUUAACGAAUCAAACUCCCAUUAUUGAAUAGAAACCGAUUGAAUGCUCUUGCUGCUCGUCCUCUCCAUGUCUUCUUUUUUCCAAUAGCUGCUCGAAGAAUCCAGGAUACUUAGUCGAGCUCAAGCUUUCUUACUCUAGAGUCUUGCUAUAACAAAGCAAUAUAAAUUAGAAUUAUAAAACCUCCCAUUUACAAUCAAAUCAUGUCAAUUAAAGUAUAGAAAUAUCAAGAGGAAUUGUUUAAGUAUACAUUUUUACAUUAAUGAUAUAUAUGUUAGAGGAAUUGUUACCAAGGAAUCAAUGUUAUGAAGCAAAACAAGACACACCAAAUUAUGCAAUAAACUAGAAAAUAAAAAUGCAAAGAGAACACCUUGAAAUGUGAGUUCAUAUUAAAUUUUCUUUUCCAUAAUUCUGUAAAAUUUACUCCACUAUAUCAAAAAUAAAUGUCAAUAUUACUUUUCCAUGAUGAAAUCAGUGGAUAAUUUAUCCAUUUUACCCUUAGCAUUAAACACGAUUUAUUAUCCAAUGUGUUUUCCAAAGCAUUAAAUUUAUUACAUUCAAAGGGUAAUGUGGUAAAACUAGCCCUAUCAUUUACUAUUUCUUAACUUAUGUGUCAAGUUAAUAUUGAACAACUAUUGAUCGACGGAGGUAGUAACAAUUAGGCCAAAUGUGCUCACAUUUAGUAAGUUUAAACUAAAGUACCAAAAUUACUCAAAAAUAUAUUUAAGGGGGCAUUUGAACUAUCCUCAAAUAUAAGGGAUAUUCUUGUUAAUUUCUCUUAUAUUUUAAGUAGGAUUUUAACCCAAUUUUGUCAAGGUUAUUUUUGUGAAAGAACAUGGGGUAAAUCUAAAUAACUUAUGUGUACGACUUGACUUGUGGAAAUAAGAAACAGAGUGUGAUCCUAAUAAAUACUAUAUACUUACAUGUAUCGUCGGAGAUACGAACGUCCAUGGGUUGUUUCCGAGGUCUUCUUGUUCUUGUUGAAUUCGUGCAGCAGAUUCCCCAAGUUCGGGAAGACAACUUCUUAGCUCAAUCAGUUGUAAUGUGUGGAUUUCUGCAAACUCAAUGGGUAUCUCUUUCAAAUAUGUGCAUUUUUUGAGCACAAGGCGCUCAAGAACAGGAAAAUUGUCAUCUGUGGCUUUCCAGUACAUGAGAAAACAAUCUUCAAUUAACAAAACCUUCAAUCGAGUAAAUCCCGUAACAUUUGGAUGCCAUUCUUCUCCACGACAAGCAUGAAACAUCACCUUUAGCACCUCAAGGUUAGGCAAUUCAGCUAUGAUGUCCAUGUACGACCAACGUAGAAAAUUUCUUUUCAACUUCAGCUUCUUGAGCGUUGCUGGAAAAGCUUUUGCACUUGCUGGCAAAAAUCUACUAAAACAAUAGAUAAGACUCAAUGUUUCAAGUUGCUGCAGAUGGACAAGACUGUUGAGAAGCCCACUAGAGCGAAUCUCAUUUCCAAAGAUUCCUAUUUCUUUGACAUUCUGAAUCCCCAUAAUAACCUCAUUCGUGCAACAAUGUGGAUGCAAGUAAGAAAAAGUUUGUAUGUUUGAAAAACCCAUGUGACUCCCUUUGUCAGCAGAUACGCUUGGGGGAUUUGGCAGAUAAAAUUCGGGCAGUUUGAGAUGCCUUAAUUGCAUUAGUCCCCAAAUUUCCUCAGGAAAAGUUAUAGUUAUAACUGAUCCAUUAAGCCCUUGAACAAUGAAUGUCUGCAGACUCCAUAACCUGCAAAUUUCUGGAGGUAUAUUUAAAUUCCGAGAGCAUUGCAAUGAUAGGUACCUCAACCAGAUGAGGCUUAGUAUCUGUACAGGGAAAUUAUCAAUCUCUCUGUGUCUCAACUCCAAGACUCUGAGUAAUUUGAAAUGAAUAAGCUCCGACUUGACAAUAAAAGAUGAAUACUUAAGAUGAAAAGAGAAAAUAGAACGGGUUCGUUCCAAAAGAUCGUUGUUGUCAUGAUCUCUCAACUGACGAUGUACAGGGGUAAGAAGAGCCCUAUAAAGACCAUAGAGAUGACAUUCAAUUUUAUCACCAGUCACGCGUUUAUAGGGCUGCAUUUUUUGCAUACUGAGAUUUCCACGUUCUGAUACGCCAAGAACAAUGUCGUUCAUGAUAAAAAUGUUCUCCUAUUGAAUUUCUCUCAAGCACAGGUCAUAUAUUAGAUCAUGAACCUUACAUGAUCUAAUUUUUGUUCCAUCUAGACUUUUCUUGCAGACGAGGACUAGACAUCUAUCGAUAAGCUCUUGCAAACACUUCUCAGCCUCUCCUUCCAAAUCAUUUUCCAACUUCAGGAACCCCUCAGCCAUCCAUGAUCUCAUCAAUUUCUUCACUGGACAUGUUUUUAGAUUGCUAGUUAAGUGAUUGUAACUCAUCCCAAGAACACGUGAACAUCGUUCAUCAGGAUCAUUUGUGACAAAUGACGUGACAUCUCUGGCAACAAUUUCCCAAUCUUUUAUUGCCCUUUUGGAUUUGAGAAGUCCAGCAACCACGACAAUAGUUAGUGGUAACCCUUGACAUUCAUCUGCUAUUUGCUUCCCAACAGUCUCGAACUCAUAUGGUAAUGCUUCACUUGAAAAUGCGACACUUUUAAAAAGGUUCCAACUCUCAUCUUGAUCCAUCAAGUCCAUCUGCAUAGAAAGAUUCUCUGUACCAGCAUAACAGGCUACUUCGUUGCUACGGGUAGUCAAUAGUAUUCGACUCCCUGCAUUGUCUUCAGUUGGAAAGCAUCGUCUCACGCCAUCCCACACUUCACAACUCCAGCUAUCAUCCAAGACAAUUAUGUACCUCUUUCUCUUUAAACUUUUCUGUAGCAUGUCUGCUAGCUCUGCUUCACCUUUUGUCUUAACCGUGUCAUCCAUUUUGAUCGUCGAUUGCAGAAGGCUCAGAAAAAUUUCCUUUAUGUUGUGCUGUUGAGAUACAGUAUCCCAGGCACGAAUAUCAAAACGACGUAGAAUUGAUUCAUGAUUGAAACUUCUUUUGCUAAGGUUGUUUUACCUAUGCCUCCCAUCCCGACAAUCGGGAUGACUUUAGGUUCACAGGAGUAGCUUCCAGUCAGAUCUUCUAACAAGUGUUCCUUUUGAUUAUCACGUCCAACCAUAUUAUUGUUAACAUUCAGAAUAUCAUUUGUUGAACUUGAAAAAUCAUGAACCAAUGAUUCCUUUGAUGCUUGUUUGGCUUUAGCUUGGAUCUUUGUCGACUCUUUCCAGAUACGAUCCAUAUCCUCUACUACUUGUUGCAGGCUUUGACGAAACCUUCGGCGCGCCUUUUUUUUUCUGGCUUUUAUUUUCUCCCAGUACAAUUUCUGUUAGUCUCAGUUGAAUUUUGUAUUCAGCAGCACUUGCAACUUCUUUUACCUCUACUUCCAAAUCUGUCAUUUCCCCAGAAACAUUGUUUUUCUCAAAGUUCUUGACAAAUUCUUCCAAGGAACUAACUUUUUCAUGAAGCGUCUUGAUUUUUUCUCUGUGGCCACAAAUUAGGUUAAAUAGUGCUGGCGAAUUGGAUAUUACGACCGAUUGUAUGUUUCUCACAAGAGAAGCAACACUAGCAUAAGCCAUAUCUAUUGUGUUCCAAUUAUGACCUGAAAGCUGCAAAUUUCAAGAGGGGAUCAAUGAUGUUAUAAAUAACAUGAUCAGCAAAAUUGCAAUCGAGGCUAAAUGGAGAGAAAAGUCCAUCGAUCUGGACUAGGAAAAAGCUAUUGAUGUUUGCCUUUUUAAUAUUCAUGUUCUUUCUAGUUUUGCAUACUCUUGCUUAUAACAGUUAAAUGAGAUCUGAACGUCAAAUGUCAGUGUACAUAUAUAAUAACACCUCUCUAUAACAGCCAUGAAAUUUUCGGACAAAUAUUAGGAGAAAGAAUACAAUAAACGCAGAAUAUGAAUAACAAUCGACAAUUGAAUGAAUCAUGCACGUAAAGAACAUAUAGCUUAUAGUAACCAUGAAAGAAGUUUUAUGAAGACAAAGAAAAAUGUCAUACCUCUGAGCUGCUGAAAUGGUGUAUGUGAUCAAAUUACCAAGUAAUAGUAAGGAUCGAACGAGUUGACUUAAUAGAAUGAGACAUGAAAAAUUCAAUUAUAAAGGAUUCAAGUAAUUAAAUGUAUUUAUGGUUAUAUGUCACCUUCACAUUAGCUGGGAUUGAAAGAGAUUUGAGAUUAAUAAGUCAAUCAAAUCAUAGGUCAGAUUGUGUAUUAUCUCAAUAUAUAUCAUUAUCAACACUUAAAUAAAACCUUAAAUAAAACUAGUGGCAGCUUUUAUAAAAUAGAUGGUUAACCUGUAUCUUUCAUUGAAUGUUUGAUGACUAGAUAUAUGUAUGAUGUCAUCGAACUUAAUUUUCAUACAUACAUUUAAGAAAUAAAAAUACAACCAACAUGGGUAGUGGUGCAGUGGAUGGGGCUGCUCCACCCUUAACCAGAGGUCGAGGGUUCGACCCUGGGUAUGGAGAAAAUUCUGUUGGGAGCGCUUCCACCUUAAUGGGCCAUGCAACGCGCCAUCUGGAUUAGCCGGGGCUCCAAUGCGGGCACCGGACGCCGGAUGGGAAACCAAAAUAAAAUAAAAUAAAAUAAAAAAUACAGAUACAAAACAAAGAGUAGGAUAGUGACCUUAUCCAACUUCAAAAAUAAGCCCAGUAAAAGUGAAGUCUACGGAGGGUAAAGCGUACGCAAACCUAACCUCGUGCAGGUAGAGAGGUUGUUUCCGAAAGACCCCAGUCUCAAGUAUCGCAUAUCAAAGCAGCAAGGAAAAGAACAUACAGAAGUAAAGAAGACGUUACAUAUAAUAGAAAAACCUCUAUAUAGCAUUCAGUAAAAAUGAACAGUAUGAGUAACGAAAUAGUGCGAUAACCGAGGCACAAGAAGAUAUUGACCUUAUCCCCUUAAUGAAAAUUAAGAAGGGAUGUCCAUGGUUUUUACACUAUGAAUUAUUAACAAAGCUAAGUUUGCAUCAUCCGUGAUAAAUCUAAACAGUUUAAUCAGUCUGGUUGAUAAUAUUUUAUUAUCAACAAAAAGUUAAAAGGCUUUAGUUAGGGAUUUACUCCAAUUUUGUAUAGGACAUAUUAUAAUAUUAGGAAAAAUGAAAGCUCCGUAUCGAACUUCAGCCCCUUUGAGUUGGACGGCGACCUCAUUCAUUCUAACAACUCCUUGCCCUAUUUUCUCUAGAUCUAAUCUAUAUAGAGGUUUUAUGGAGUUCAAGAACGCCUAUAAUUUGAUUGAUUGCAAUCUUCAGGUAUGUAUAUAUCAGUGCUUUGAUAUUAUAGUUGCAGAUCCUUACCUCUAUAAUAGUUUAAAAAAAAAGAUUUCUAUUUCUUCUAUUAUAAAUAGGCUAAUGAUUGGAAGGAGAUGAUUAGCUAAUGAUAUGAAUUGAAGUUGAAACUAUAUGAAAAUUGAAGGGUAAUAUUAAAGGAUCAUCAUUUUAUCCAAGCCACUGUUUCACAAAGUAGCUAUAUUUAUUUUUGUUGAAAAAACAAUACAUAAAGCUUCGGUUAAUUGAAAAAUUUAGCUGUUGAAGAUGCUAUGAUUUGAAUGGUUACACAAACGAGCAAUGGGACUGAGAACUUGAUUUUGAUGUAUGACUUAUUCUAAAAAUUUAAUUUAGAUGUUACCCACGUAAAAGAUUUUGAUUAUUUUAAAUCCAUUGUGGUGUAGUUUGAGGUGAUUUAGAUUUACGGAAGCAUAGUUGUGAUACAUUGACAGGGGUGCUUGGAUUGUGAAUUCGAGGUAAGUGAGACUUUAAGAUUUAAUGCUUGUUUUUCAAAUCUGCUUUAUAAAAAUUAUAUUUUUUUCUGCCUAAUCCAUGUGUUCGGACAAGCGUGUGCUUGGUAGAAUCGGUGGUCUUUUGAUUAACUGUGAAUAUAUAUUUUGUUAAGUAUAUAGAGAAUCAUUUAAUGGUGAGUUGUGAGGUGAUGUUGGGGUAUUGGACAUAUUUACUAGGAGGGUACAUGUGCUGCCGUAAUAUGUUAGGGGCAUACCUAUGCUGCCAUAAUGUGUUAGGGGCCUUGUACUUGCUGUCGUGAUAUAUUUACUAGGGGCAUACAUAGCUGCCGUAACUUGUUAGGGGCAUUGCGUAUGCUGUCGUAAUAUGUUAGGGGCCUUGUACAUGCUGCCAUAGUAUACUUUGUGGGCAUUGUGUAUGCUUCUGUGGCCUUGUCGGGGAGCUUUAAGCAUUAUAUGUUAAGAUUAAUGUUGUGCAUAUAAUUUAUGUAAUCAUGGUGUGUUGUAUUUUCUAACACUUGUUCCAGGGGUAUUAAAGUAUCGGGUCGAGGAUCUUACUGAGCUAUAUUUUUAUAUAUCUCACUCCUUACAUACAUGUUUGCAGAUACUACCGCGCAAGAUGAAACUAGUGGGUGACUUUUCUUCGUAAGGAUUCUAUUGCUAAGGUGAGCCUUCACAUUGUUCGUGGGGGCUUUCGUUUCAGCUUGAGCUAUUUAGAUUAUAUUUUCUUUCAUUGGGUUAACAUGCCCAAAAGUUGAACUUAUGUAAUUCUAUUUUAGAUGCUCCAUAGUCUCAGUGUAGGACUAGGGAUAGAGAAUUAGUUCAAGAGUGAUUGUUGAAUUUAUAAUUUAAUUAUGAUUUUUUUUGUGGAAUUCUUAUUCUUUAUUUAUUAUAUAUUGGAGUUGCACAUACCUUAUCUUACUGCUUAUUAACUGGUAAAGUGUAAGGAAGAUUGGUUCUCCCGGCACGCGGUGUUAUCGGGUGCCAGUCACGCCUAGGAAUGAUUUUGGGACCUGACAAAAUUGGUAUCAGAAACAAGGCUUCAAGUCCUAGAUCAUGGAGCAGUGUUUGGUAGGAUCUUGUUCAUGGGUAUGUAGACGUCCAUCCUUAUGACCUUGAUGUUACAGAACAUCUAGAAUAUUUUUCCUUCUUUCUUUCAUCAUUCGUGCGUUAAGACGUAUCGUGGUUAAUUUUUUUUUUCACAGAUGGCUAGGAUAGACAUCCUCCUCUGCUAGAUGGCAUAGUUGACUUCGAUGUAUUUAAUUAUACAUGUGCGGUUGAGAGCGACACUGAUUACUGAAAAUAUGUGUGUGUUGAUGUUGGUUGUGAUUGAAGUUCUUACAUCUUGGGAUUACUUUAUUUACAAUAUAGAUUUUCUAUUUAAAAAAAAAUUGUGUGGAUGGAGAAAAAGAAUGAUCAAAUGAUAUAAUUUUUGUGUCAGAAUGACAUUUAAAUUUGAGGUUGUAGGUAUAACUUUUUAGUAUGAGUCAAACCAAAAACAGAAAGAAGUGUUAAAAAAAAAAAAAAGAAGAGUAAUAGAGGUUACCCAUGUUUAAAUAGUUUGAUUUAGUGGUGAAACAUAUUUUAAGGAUAUUGUGUGUACAGUCCUAAGCUUAAUGCUUCUUAAAAAUAAAAUACUACAAUUAGCAAUGUUGUGAUGGUGACGUCAUUGGUGUGAACCUGGUGUGAAAAUACACUCUAAUUAUAUUGAUUAUGAGCGAUAGUGGUGCUUCAAGAUGCUUAAUAUGUUCAUGGAGUAGAUCCGUGGAAAUUAUAGACUUGUGAGAGUGAAUAGAAAACAUGGGCUUAAGAAUUUAUGGACGAAUAUGGUUGAGUAUGAUACUCAUAGCAGUGUAGCAUGACUAGUUAUUGAAAUAAUAAGAUGUGAAUUAUGAAGGUAAAAGAAAUUUGAGCCAAUGAGUAUGGAGAUUAAAAAAAAAUUGAGUACUUAGAUGUAUCAUUUGUGAUGUCUUUUCAAGUGGGGGAGCCUAUUAUUAUUGAGCAGUCUGUUGAAUAUGUGUGGACACAAAUUAGCAUCAUGAUACACUUGCAUGUUGUUAUAACUGAGAAUAAUCAAACUUGAGGUUAUCUUUUGUUUGGACUCAAAUGAUGUUGUGUUGUGUUUGAUUGUCAAGAAAUACUAUUGAAUUUUUCAUUUCAGUUGCGCCUAGUAUUUUAUAUGAUAGAUUCAAUGUGUAAUUCUACAUGUAAGCUACUUCAUCGAUAAAAGUCCUGAUAGUGUUGGGAGCUAGUGAUAAUUUCUGAUAAUGAGUAAAGUGAGAGCAUUUCAAUUAGAGGGUUCAAUAUAAAUGCACUUGGAUGAUUGAUUUAAGGAGAUUUGUACUUGAUAAGAUUAAAAUAUUUUUCAAUAUUUGGCACAUUUGAGAUUCAUAAAUAUGUAUUGAGAUCAAAGAAAUAGAGCUAACAUCAUAUAGUGAUAUAGAGUAUUACACAUGUUGCCCUACAAUGUUUGAACUGUUCAUAUUAUAAAUAGGAGGAUUGAAAAAAAACAAUAUUUUCAUCGUAAACAUAGUUACUUUGAGCAAAAUAACUAAACAAAAAUUGCUAUAGACUUUGAGGUUAGCCUACACAUUAAUUUUUUUUUUAAAAAAAAGUAAUCGUAGUUGGGAUAAUAUUGAUAGACAUAUUCUCUUAUUGAGUGCUCGGAGGAUAGAGAAAUGGAUUGUCAACAAUCUUGAUGGGGGAGUAAAGACUAGUGAAAUAGAGCACCUAAUUUUGUUUGUAUUUAUUAUACUUUAUUCUAGCUUGUGUUGAUAUGUUUCAAAAAUAGUGCAAUCACACGAAAUGCGUAUGUUUUCAUGUGUGAAGAGAGUAAAAGUGCAUUACGUAGGGGUGUAUGGAUGUAUUCUAACAUUGUCGUACAUGAGUGUUAAGUAGGGGUGUAAGAAUGUGUUAUUAUACCACUAUAUGUAUGAUCAAGAUGUAGAGGCAUAAAAAUGUGUCCGUGUUCCAAUGUCAUUUUACAUGAGUUUUAUAUAGAAUUUUUUUGGAUAGUCAAACACUAACAUAUGUAAGUAUGAAGGGCGUGUUCUACUAUAGGACUAUGAUUGUGAUACUCGAAUGUGUUCUUGAAAAAAAAAAGAAAAUAAGAGAGUAUUCAAUAUCAACACUAGCCAAAUGAAUAUAUCAUAUUGUGUGGUUUGUGAUUAGCUUCUUUUGACAGGGGUUAUACCUCAUCUUUGUUACUAACUUGAUAUGCAAUUUUUGUCUCUAUAUAAGUGUUGAUGUCAUUUGUUAGUUGCUGGUCCCAACAAGCUAUAAAAAAAAAAGUAAACUAAGCUUAAUAAAUAUGUUGGUUUAGAUGAGAAUUACAUUAAGUCGAUUUGGGUAUCAAUAUAGACUUGCUUUACCUUCGAGGUUUUUGUUGUUCCUUCUACUUUUAUUCCAUGUGUCUAUAGUUAGAUAUAUGUUUGUGAUGAUAGAAAAAAAAAUUCAGGUUAAGGGAUUGGAACUAGAUAAAAAGUUUUGGCAUAUGAGAAAUGUCCAUGAUAUUGGUAAUACUUUUUCAACACUUGAGUUGAAAGAAUGUUUCUAAAGUGAAAAUUAUGAUUUGCAAACCAUUUAGUUUGAGAUUUUCUCUGAUGUUUGGGUUGUCCACUAGAAAUAGCUUCAACUCCAGGAGGCAAUAUAUUAGAAAGUUCUAGGGAUCAAUGAUUAUUUUCAAGCAUGCAAGAUAGAAUUGACUGAGCAUUCUUUAAUUAGAGUGUUUUAGAGAUAUUAUGUGUAUAGAGUUGAUAGAGAUAUAACUGCUAAAAUGUGUAUGGAAAGGUCAUAUAGUUGUUUGGUAGUUUCGACAUAAUUCGAGACCCAUUCGAGGACGAACGUUAUUUUAAGUGAGGGAGAAUGUAAUAACUCAAAAAUUUUAAUGAGGGGUAAAUGAGUAAUUCUGCCAUUUUUUUUAUAUUAAUUAAGAGAAUUAAAGUGAGUAAGUCAAAAGACAAAACCCACUUCCUUAUUCAGUUUUUUUUUUUCACAUUCUAGUUACAAAGAAGUAGAAUAUUAAGGUUUUUUUUUUUUUUUCUAAUUUCUUAAGUGCUUGAAGAGGGCAAGCAUCAUAGAGGUUUUAUGGAGUUCAAGAACGCCUAUAAUUUGAUUGAUUGCAAUCUUCAGGUAUGUAUAUAUUAGUGCUUUGAUAUUGUAGUUGCAGAUCCUUACCUUCAUUAUAGUUUAAAAAAAAAAUUUCUAUUUCUUCUAUUAUAAAUAGGCUAAUGAUGGAAGGAGAUGAUUAGAUAAUGUUAUGAAUUGAAGUUGAAACUACAUAAAAAUUGAAGGGUAAUAUUAAAGGAUCAUCAUUUUAUCGAAGCCACUGUAUCACAAAGUAGCUAUAUUUAUUUUUGUUGAAAAAACAAAACAUAAAGCUUCGGUUAAUUGAAAAUUUUAGUUGUUGAAGAUGCUAUGAUUUGAAUGGUUACACAAACGAGCAAUUGGACUGAGAACUUGAUUUUGAUGUAUGACUUAUUCUAAAAAUUUAAUUUAGAUGUUACCCACUUAAAAGGUUUUGAUUAUUUUAAAUCCAUUGUGGUGUAGUUUGAGGUGAUUUGGAUUUACGGAAGCAUAGUUGUGAUAUAUUGAGAGGGGUGCUUGGAUUGUGAAUUCGAGGUAAGUGAGACUUUAAGCUUUGAUGCUUGCUUUUCAAAUCUGCUUUAUAAAAAUUAUAUUUUUUUCUGCCUAGUCCAUGUGUUGGGACAAGCGUGUGCUUGGUAGAAUCGGUGGUCUUUUGAUUAACCGUGAAUAUGUAUUUUGUUAAGUAUAUAGAGAAUCAUUUAAUGGUGAGUUGUGAGGUGAUGUUGGGGUAUUGGACAUAUUUACUAGGAGGGUACAUGUGCUACCGUAAUAUGUUAGGGGCAUACCUAUGCUGCCAUAAUGUGUUAGGGGCCUUGUACUUGCUGUCGUGAUAUAUUUACUAGGGGCAUACAUAGCUGCCGUAACUUGUUAGGGGCAUUGCGUAUGCUGUCGUAAUAUGUUAGGGGCCUUGUACAUGCUGCCAUAGUAUACUUUGUGGGCAUUGUGUAUGCUUCUGUGGCCUUGUCGGGGAGCUAGGCUGAUCACCUUCACUGCCGUUUAUGACAAGCCGGGAGAGUGGAUGGAGUUGAGAGAUAUAUAAUGAGUUUUGAAACAUUUGUUGAAACUUAUUAAGCAUUAUAUUUUAAGAUAUAUGUUGUGCAUAUAAUUUAUGUAAUCAUGGUGUGUUGUAUUUUCUAACACUUGUUCCAGGGGUAUUAAAGUAUCGGGUCGAGGAUCUUACUGAGCUAUAUUUUUAUAUAGCUCACUCCUUACAUACAUGUUUGCAGAUACUACCGCGCAAGAUGAAACUAGUGGGUGACUUUUCUUCGUAAGGAUUCUAUUGCUAAGGUGAACCUUCACAUUGUUCGUGGGGGCUUUCAUUUCAGCUUUAGCUAUUUAGAUUAUAUUUUCUUUCAUUGGGUUAACCUGAAAGUUAAAUUUAUGUAAUUCUAUUUUAGAUGCUCCAUAGUCUCAGUGUAGGAUUAGGGAUAGAGAAUUAGUUCAAGAGUGAUUGUUGAAAUUAUAAUUUAAUUAUAAUUUUUUUUGUUGAAUUAUUAUUCUUUAUUUAUUAUAUAUUGGAGUUGCACAUACCUUAUCUUACUGCUUAUUAACUGGUAAAGUGUAAGGAAGAUUGAUUCUCCCGACAGGCGGUGUUAUCAGGAAUGAUUUUGGGACGUGACACUCAAACUGCCCAAAUUUUAUCUGCCAAAUCCCCCAAGCAUUUUUGCUGACAAAGGGAGUCACAUGGGUUUUUCAAACAUACAAACUAUUUCUUACUUGUCUUUGGAUUGUUGCACUAACGAAGUUAUUCAGAAUGUCAAAGAAUUAGGAAUCAGUGCAUAUGAGAUUGACUCUGAUGGGCUUCUCAACAAUCUUGUCCAUCUGUAGCAACUUGAAACAUUGAGUCUUACAUAUUGUUUUAGUGGACUUUUGCUAGCAAGUGCAAAAGCUUUUCCAGCAACGCUCAAGAAGUUCAAGUUGGAAGCAACUUAUCUACGUUGGUCGUACUUGGACAUCAUAGCUGAAUUGCCUAACCUUGAGGUGCUGAAGCUGAUGGUUGAUGCUUGUUGUGGAGAAGAAUGGUAUCCAAAUGUCAGGGAAUUUACUCGAUUGAAGGUUUUGCUAAUCGAAGAUAAUGAUGUCAAGUACUGGAAAGCCACAAAUGACAAUUUUCCUGUCCUUAAGCGCAUCGUGCUUAAAGAAUGCACAAAUUUGAAAGAGAUACCCAUUGAGUUUGCAGCUAUCUACACACUACAGCUGAUUAAGUUAACAAUGUGUCUUCCCGAACUUGGGGAAUAUGCUGCACGAAUUCAAAAAGAACAAGAAGAACUUGGAAACGACCCUGUGAAUGUUCGUAUCUCCGAUCCAUGUAAGUAUAUCUAUAGUAUUUAUCAAGGUCACACUCUGUUUCUCAUUUCCACAAGUCUAGUCAUACACAAAAGUCAUUUAGCUUUGCCCCAUAUUCUUUCACAAAAAUAACUUUGAGAAAAUUCGGUUAAAAUCCUACUUAAAAUAAAACAGAAAUUAACAAGAAUAUAUAUCCCUUAUAUUUGAGGGUAGUUCAAAAUGGCCCCUUAAAUAUAUUUUUGAGCAGUUCUGUUACUUUAGUUUAAGCUUGCUAAAUGUGAGCAAGUUGGGCCGAAGUUGGGCGGGUUAAGAUGGGUUGAACGAACAAAUGAGCUAAUGUCAAACCAUGCCAUUAAAUUACAAUAAAUUUCUCUCUUUGAAUUUCUCUCACACACAGGUCAUAUAUUAGAUCAUGAACCUUAAAUGAUAUAAAUUUUGCUCCAUCUAGACUUGUCUUGCAGACGAGAACUAGACAUCUAUCAACAAGCUCUUGCAAACACUUCUCAGCCUCUCCUUCCAAAUCAUUUUCCAAAUUCAGGAACCCCUCAGCCAUCCAUGAUCUCAUCAAUUUCUUCGCUGUUAUCUGACUGUCUUCUGGAAAAAUCCCGAAAUGCAGAAGACAGGCUUUUAGAUCGCUAGUCAUGUGAUUGUAACUCAACCCAAGCACAUGUGAACAUAGUUCGUCAGGAUCAUUUGUGAGACAUGACUUGACAUUUUUCGCAACAUUUUCCCAGUCUUCUAUUUCCCUUUUAGAUUUGAGAAGUCCAGCAACCACGACUAUGGUUAGUGGUAACCCGUGACAUUUCUCUGCAAUUUGCUUCCCAGUAGUCUCAAACUCAGAUGGUAAUGCUUCACUUGCAAAUGCUGCACUUUUGAAAAGACUCCAACUCUCAUCUUGAUCCAUGAAGCUCAUCCACAAAGAAAGAUUCUCUACACCAGUAUAACAAGCCACUUCAUCGUUACGGGUAGUCAACAGUAUUCGACUCCCUGCAUUGUCAUCUGUUGGAAAGCAUCGUCUCACGCCAUCCCACACUUCACAACUCCAGAUAUCAUCCAAGACAAUUAAGUACCUCUUUCUCUUUAAACUUUUCUGCAGCAUGUCUGCUAGCUCUGCUUCACCGCUGGUCUCAACCGUGUCAUCCACUUUGAUCGUCGACCGCAGAAGGCCCAGGAAAAUUUCCUUUCUGUUGUGCUGUUGAGAUACAGUAGCCCAGGCAUGAACAUCAAAACAGUGUAGAACUGAUUUAUUAUUGUAAGCUUCUUUUGCUAAGGUUGUUUUACCUAUGCCUCCCAUCCCGACAAUCGGGAUUACUUUGGGUUCAUCAGAGUAGCUUAUAGUCAGAUCUUCUAACAAUCGUUUCAUUUGAUCAUCACGUCCAACCAUAUUGUUCUUAACAUUCAGAUUGUCAUUCGCAGAACUUGAAAAAUCUUGAAUCGUUGAUUCCUUUGAUGCUUGUUUGCCUUUAUCUUGAAUCUUUGUUGACUCUUUCCGGACACGAUCAAUGCCCUUUGCGAAUUGUUGAAGGCUUUUAUGGAACUUUCGGCGUGUCCAUAUAUUUGAGACUCCCUUGAAAAAUCUUGAGCCAGUGAUUCCUAUGAUGCUUUAAUUUUUUUCCAUUAUAGUUUCUGUUAGCUUAAGUAGAAUUUUGUGUUCAACAAUAUUUGCAACUUCUUUUAUCUGUACUUCCAAAUCCGUCAUUUCUCCUGAAACAUUGUUUUUCUCAAAGUUUUUGACAAAUACUUCCAGGGAACUAACUUUUUCAUAAAGAGCGCAAAGUUCUUCUCUGUGAUCACAGAUUAGAGAUUGCAUCGGCGAAUUGGAUGUCAAGAGUGAUUCUAUUGUUCUCGUAAGAGAAGCCACACUUGUAUGAGCCAUAUCUACUGUAUUCUCUUUUUUGUCCUUUGUGAUUAUGACCUGAAAGCUGCAGGGUUGCAAGAGGUCAAUGGUAUUACAAAUAACGAGAUACGCAGAUUUGCUAUAAAGGCACGCAUAAACUAAAUAAGAUCAGGUAAUGUUAACAGUGAGUUCAGUACCAAACUCAGUAGCUUUAGCUCAUUUAAUGUGCAGAAAAGAUUGUGGUUCAAAACUCUGCUUCACUUACUUAGGUAUUGUUUUCUACAUAGCUGGAACUCUUUUAAAAAGUUGUGACACCCGCGUCAGAUCCUUAAAAAACUGCACAACUUUUGAAGGAUCCAACACGUAAUCAAUGUUAUUUUUGAAGAGUUGCAGCAACAUAAAUAUAUACAUUACAAAGAGCUAAAUUACACAUUGAUAAGCAAGCCACUACAAGUGUUGUUUUUCUCAAACCUUAAUCAAAUGAGAGAGUAAUUAAGGGAAACUAACCUUUCAAUGGCAGAUCGUACAGCUUCAAAAUCACUGAAAGCGAUAUUUGAGAAAAGGAUAGAAGAAAUGACUAUAAACAAAUAACAAUAAACAAAUGUGUAAAGAACAAAAGUUAGACAGUACCUAAACAAGAUAAAAUUUGAGUGGCUGAAAUGAUAUCUGCAUAAUUUAUCAGCCCAAACAGUCCCUUCACUUUACAUAGUAGAUUCACUUAGGUCCCUGUAAUCUAAUAUAAUGUUGAACAUAAAUGGUCCUUUGUCUCUGUAAAAAAGGGUGCACUUGGAAAAAAAUGUAGUGCUUUAUACACGUAGUGGGAUCAUAUUUCUGUUCAUUUAAUAAAUAACCUUACCAAAUUAAACGAGUGUGCGAUCGUGUUAACCAAUUUGAGCUCAUGAACUCAAAAAUUUAGUAAUGCCCAACUGAAUAAUAUUACUAAAAAUUCUAUCAACUCAAAAAUAUGUUACAAUACGAAAGAGAUCACGUCUCCUUGGAAGCCACACGUUGCUUGAAACGGAUCAGGUAAUUUAUUAGUCUUUAUCAUGGUUAAGGAGCAUUUGGCCUCUUUAUAUGAUCUCCAGCAAUCCUCACCUCUUCUGCUAGCUUUUAGGUUGAGUUAGGUCUAAGGUCCAUUUCUUUAGCUCAUCACAUAAAUUAUCAAGAAGUGAAUUCUUGUUAAUCAGUGUCGCAGAGCGGCUAACGAGUCACACUAUAUUCUGCAGUUGCUAUGCCGGUGCUAAAUGGUGACAGGGACGAGUAGCACUGCAUCUACAGCCUAAACUAUCGUUGAAAGGCUUAAGAGAGGUCAGGAAGGACAAAUCAAAGAGAAGGGUGGUUCGUUGAUCAGUAUGAACUUCAGCAUGAAGUGGUUGGGUUCACUCCUUCUCGAGGAAGGGAUUCAACGUAUUAGGCAAAACGCAGUAGCUUUAUCUUAUCUAGUGUCUGAAAAUAUUUAACUCCCAAAAAAGGAUUACGGUUCAGAAACAUAGACUAAAAAUCCUGGCUCCACUUUGCUUAUUUAGUAAUGUUUUCUUAGGAUGAUGUUUGGAUCUAUCCUAAAUACAGACUUGUACUAUGUAACUAUUUUGCUGGAACUCUAUAAAAAGGUUGUCACACCUGUGUCUAAUUCUCAAAAAAUACACAACUUUUGAAGAAUCUGUUGUUUCGGGUACAAAAUCUGUAUGUUUGUAAAACCACUUCAACACAAGUUCAAGAUUAUAUCAAGAACACUCAUGAAGUUUUUUAACACCUUUAACACAAGUUCAAUAUGAACUAUCAAAGAAGUGUGUUAUUUUUUAAGAAAUAAGAUGAAACAGAGUAAGAACCAAGUCCUCCGAAUUCACGGAGUGUCCUUAAGGAAUUAAUUCCCCUCAAGUACCCGAGGUUGUGGAAUUUUUCCUUCCAGGAUAAAAUGGUUCAUAAUUCGACAGUAGCGAUACCUCAAACUGUCGAAUUCGUUGAAGACACUCAACAACAGCUUGAUCACAAUGAGUUUUUGGAAGUAGAAGAGUUUCAUUACUACCUAUGGAAAAAAUGCAGGUAUUUAUAUCCAUCAAGUCCCUCUUACAAAAGGAAGCAAUGGUUCAUCGGAAAGGUUUAUCCCUUUAUGUUUAGUAAUGCUUUUCACUAAUGGAGUUUACACCAUGACGUGAUUAAUUUUGACACACGGCAAAGACAUCUGUGCCUUCCAAUUUUCAAGCACACAUUCUCCACAGAGACGUAUAAAUAAUUACUUGGUAGAAAAAACAAAUCUUAGUGCUCAUUCGUUUGACUGCAGAUGCUGAGUUCAGGAACACGGGAUUAGAAAGGUCAGAGGUCUUAGAAAAGGAUUUGGAAUGGUUUAGACAGCAAGGUCAUGUCAUCCCGGAACCGUCAGCUAUGCUCGUUACUUAGAGGAGCUCUCAGAAAAGGAUCCUCAAGCAUUUAUUUGCCAUUUUUACAACACCUACUUUGCGCAUUCAGCUGGAGGUUGCAUGAUAGGGAGAAAGGUCAGUAAUUUGUCUUUGAAGUUUUUAGUAUUAUUCUUCAUUGUACUUCUCUUACUGUGGUAUGUAAAGCUGGAUUUUCAUCAUAGAAAUAUGCGAAAUUCUAGGUUAUUUUAAGUCAUAAUUUGAAGGGUAUCCGAGGACACCCAAGGAUGUGGCUUAGUAGUCAAUGUAGUGGGAGGAGAAAUAUGAUGAGGUUUAAAUCCGAACAGUGGCAAAAAAAACACUAGUCGGUUCAUUCCGUUUACCUAAGCCUUGCUAGGUAGAGUUUUACCCCGUACCUAUGCUGGUGAGAGGUAGGAGGUACUAGGUGGAGUAUCCAAAGCGAGCAAAAGCUAAACCAUGUUGCCGUUCAAUCCCUUUUACUCGUUAGUACUUCAAUUUUGACGGAUAGUUGAAAUAUUACUAGUUCCCAUCGUUAUCAUCACUUAGUCCUAACUCCUAACAUCAACUUAGUCUGUUGAAAUUUCAGUAGCAAACAAACUAAACAACAUUGUAAAAAUGAAAAUUUCAGUAUUCAUCAGGUGUUAAAAAUGUCCAGCAGAUGAUAAAUUCAGAUUAGAAGAAAUGUAACAUGGAGUAAUCCGAAACUGUCUAGAACUAGUGCAGUCGUAGAGGUUGUCGCCCUCUUGCAUUGUUUCUUUUCCUUCUUAGACCUACGAACGUUAAAGGAAAAAAGGUAACCAGUAAACUUGCAUCUUCUUGCUUUAUAGGUAGCUGAAAAUAUACUCGAUAAGAAAGAGCUGGAAUUCUACAAAUGGGACGGCGACCUUUCUGAGUUGCUGCAGAAUGUUAGAGAUUAGCUGAACAAAGUUGCAGAAGUAAAAUCCUUCACCCUCUCUUUACAAGUUUCCAACUUUUCAAGUCUAUUAACGUCUUAACAUGAUCCAUUUUCAUGGAUGCUUUUGCUCAGAACUGGACCAGAGAGGAGAAGAACCAUUGUCUGGAAGAGACGGAGAAGUCAUUCAAGUUCUCCGGGGCCAUCCUCCGAUUGAUAUUAUCUUGAUGAACAACUUUACGCUUUGUUUCCUUGUUAACUUGUACAUCAUGGCUGGUCGAAACCUGCAAAUUUCUUUGAAUAGUUGUGUUUCUUUUCGCAUUUAAUUCUUUUCGCAUUUCUUUGAAUCAGGGAAACAUGUUUCAGCUCAAUUUUGUUUCCUCCUGUGACAGAAAGACAAGUUUAGGUUGGAAUCUGAAAUCAAACUUAUUACAUUUGUAGUUCCUUAGCCCUACCUCGGAGGUAGAAAUGCUGUUUCUGAUAGACGAGGAAAAACAAAUCAAUGCAAUCCAAAGAAAUAAGUAACAGAUGUGAAAUCACAAUAAAGCAAGAUGAUAUAUACAAAUGCUUGCAUCUGAAGUCAUUAGCAUAACUGAAUUUAAGGUUCACAGUUUAUGAGAAAAAAACACAAUCUUGUAUAGCGAAAAAGAGAACAGAACGAGUGCAGUGUCCCGAUCUAUCCAUAAUCUCACAAAUUUCUUUCACUGAAAUCUCACUAUCUUAUUUGAAAAAUUCCGAAAAAACAGAAGACAUGUAAACGUUGUUCAUCAGGAUCAUCUGUUGCAAAUGACUUGACAUCUUCAGCAACAUCUUUUGAAUCUUCCAAUGUCUUUAGAUUUUGAAAAAAUCCCAACAACCGAGAUGACAUUUGUCUAUAAUCUGCUUCCCGAUAGUCUCAAAUUCAGAUUGUAAUGCUUCAUUUACAAACAGUAAAAAGUAACACAAGAGAAUCAACAUAGAAAUGCACAUUUCCGAUCAUCUAAUAAAUAACGCUACCAACUAAAAUGUGUGUGCUAUCGUGUUAACCAUUGUGGGCUCAUGAACUCAGAACUUCAGUAAUGCCCAACUGAGUUCAAGAUUUAGAGCCCUUUUUUUUUUUUUUUCAAAUUCAAACACAAGUCUUGACUUCUAUUGUACUUUCAUCCCGAAACAUGGCCCUUAAAUAAUGGAAAAGUAGUUGUCUUGUCGUUUUAGUGAUUGAAAAAGUCUUUGGUGGUUGGGGAUUCUUUCAAGAUUAACAAGUCUUACACCCUUUUCCUUCACCUUUCUAGAUCUAACUCUCACUUUGAGGGGAAGAACAUCAAGAUCUACAACAACAUCACCAAGAACAACAACAACACAACAAACAUUCAACUCCAAAUUCCACAACAACAAAGUUAAUCAUAUGACCAAGGCUUCAACAAUUUCAACAAAAGGUUCUUAAGCCACCAAUCCUUAACAACAACACAAGGCCAAGCUUAGAACUACAAUAGCAACACAUGGCCAAGGUGAAAACCACAACACAAUGUUCAACAACAAUUCGGUCAAGGCUCAAGUUCACGUAAUAGUGUUCGUGAACAAGAAACUAACACUAGAAAUAACUAAACAAAACAAAGGGACUCCUAGAUCAAAGACUCAACAAUUUGGGACAAGAUGAACAACAAGAAAAACAACUUCCUCGGCCAAGACUCAACAAUUUCGGCCAAGACAACAAAAAUGGACAGAUUUGCUUCUUUUUGGAAUUUUCAGUUUUUAACGCUUUCUUUUUUGAAUUUCCAAGCAAGCAAACCCAAGAUUGAUCUUGUGAGAACAAAAUCAAGCCACGCUCUGAUACCAAAUGAUACGAUACAAACUUGGUACGUAUCAAAAACACUCUAAAAACAGUCCACAAAGAAGAGGAAAACCGAGAGCAACACAAACACAAAUCUUGGGUCCAACAACAACAAGAAACAAGGUGUAAUUGACACCAAAAACACUAGCAACAACAAGAGAUAAAACAUAAUAUGAUAAGAAGAACAACAAUAGGAUAACAACAAUCCAACGAUUACAAGAUUAUAAGAACUAACGGUUUCCCUAGAUAACACUAGCUACGACAUGAAAUGUAGAGAUAGAUAGUGAGACAUACACUACAAUAAGACCCAAGAACCCAAAGAUAUAUUAAAUCUAAGGACCCCUAAGACUUACAAUAGCAGCACCACACUCUUACGAAGACACGAGAUGGAUUUCACCGCUCAAGCACCAUCAUUUUCAAGCAAUAUACAUUCACAAGUGAGUCCACACUUGCUCAUGUCCUAGUUUCGGCCUAGGGAGGCUCUCUUUCAAGUGAAGUGCUCUUUCAUCAAUAUUCAAUAACUAAUGAGCUAAAAUCCUAACAUGUUCUUUAUAUAGGCUAAUACAAAUAAUAGAUAAAAUGACAAAAGUGCCCCUUAGUGUUAAAUGGACAAAAUGGCGCCCAUCGAGUGCAAUAUAGAGACGGCUUUGGAGCCCUUUUCACACUUCAACUCAUACACUCCGUAGGUUGCAUUUAACACACUCAAAAAAUUCCAUCUUCAUGAUCAUUUUCGUAUCAGCAAGCAUCCGGUUUCAGCUUCAGCAUCUCAAGGUUAGGCCACUUACCUAUGACGUUCAAGUCCUCCCAUGCUAGAUGAGUUCUGACCAGUUUUAACUUCUUGAGCAUUGUUGGAACAUGUUCUGCACUAGGUUUGGAGUGUAUACAUGCAUUAUGUCAGGUAGGAUUGAAGUGUUUUUUUUUCCAGCUUUUGUAUGGUUAAAGGUCAUAGUUAUAAUUUGAUGUCAAGUUAAAGGUCCUGUUUAUGUAUUAUGCCUAAUUACAAUUUAGAGAAAUAACAUGUAAAGUUGUUGCUGCUGUGUGACCCAGAGUUCACUAGCUCAAGACAUCGAAACUGCCUCUUGCAGGAAUGCAGGGUAGUACUACGUCCAAUAGAUCCUUUGUUCUGAGCCUUCCUCGAAUCCUCUAACACAGAGGAAGCUUUAGUGCAUGGGGCUUCCCUGAAAAUGAAAGAGAAACAAAUCUAGCUACACAUUAUUUACUCAUGUCGUUCUGAAUCAAAAUCACGCCCCCCUUGAAAGAAACAUAAAGGGUUAUUAGAAGUUCGACGAGUCACAUUAGUCAGAUGCAAAUUUAGAGCGUGUUCAACCGAACUCACUUCUUUCAACUCUUAACUUCAUGUGAACAGAUAUAGACAUAUGAAAAUCAUAUGAAAGUGUGACAAACAUUCUGAAUCCACUGGUUCUAAAUUAUGGAUCUGUCAAGAAAUGGACCUUGGGCCUAACUCAACCUCAAAAGCUAGCUCAAGAGGUGAGGAUUAUCCAAGUUCAUAUAAGCAAACCACUAGUUCAUUCCCCCACCAAUGUGGAACUUUUACCCACUCUAACCACCCCCUCACGCCCAGGCCCAACUGGCACUACUGCGUGGACCGGAAGCCCAAGGCCCUACACGCCCAAGCCCAAUUGACACUGGCGCGUGGAUGUGAGACUUUUACCCACAAACACCCCCUCCCCCUACGCCCUAGCCCAACUGGCACUAGCGCAUGGACCAGAAGCCCAAGGCCCUACACGCCCAAGCCCAACUGCACUGGCGCGUGGAUGUGGGACUUUUACCCACUCUAACACCCCCUCCCCCUACGCCCAGACCCAACUGGCACUAGCGCGUGGACCGGAAGCCCAAGGCCCUACACGCCCAAGCCCAACUGGCACUGGCGCGUGGAUCGGAAACCCAAAACGGGGAGGAACCUGGCUCUAAUACCAUGUUAAGAAUGGACCUUGGGCCUAACUCAAGCUCAAAACCUAGCUGAAGAAGUGAGGAUUACCCAAGUCCAUAUAAGCAAACCACUAGUUCAUUCCCCAACCAAUGUGGAACUUUUACCCACUCUAACAGGAUCGUCUUUACUAAAGCAUCUCUAGAGAAUCAUACAGGGAUUUAUAUCUAUCAAAGCACGUAUACUAAACUAGUAUAUAUAUAUAUACACACACACACACACAACAGAUAUUAAACCAAUUAAACAAAAUCAUCAUCCAGUUCCCACGAGAUAAAUUGUUCCAUGAAGGAGAGAAAGUAUACCGCAAUAAGAAUUAUCAAGUUAGAAGACAUUACAACAUAUAAAUGUAUCGAAUCAAACUCCCCAUAUUGAAUAGAAACCGAUUAAAUCUUCUUGUUGCUCAUCCUCUCCUUGUCUUUUUUUUUCAAAAAGCUGCUCCAAGAAUCCACAAUACUUAGGACGAGCGAUCAAGCCAUCUUACUAUUUUUAUUGCUAUAACAAAGCAAUAUAAAUUAGAAAUAUAAAACUCAAGAGGAAGCCUCCAAAACAACACAAGUGAUAUAUAUAUGUUAGAGGAAUUGUUACAAGGAAAUCAAUGUUAUGAAGCAAAACAAGCUACACCAAAUCCCCCGACAAACUAGAAAAUAAAAAUGCAAAGAGAACACCUUGAAAUGUGAGUUUAUACAAAAUUUUCUUUUUUACAAUUCUGUCAAAUUUACUCCACUAUAUAAAAAAAAAAUGUCAAUAAUACUUGUCCAUUUUGAAACCAAUGAAUAAUUUACCCAUUUUACUCUUAGCAUUAAAUACGAUUCAUUAUCCAAUGUGUUAUUCCAAAGCAUUAGAUUUAUUACUCCCUCCGUUUCGUUUUAGUUGACCCUUAUUGACUUGGCACACCCCUUAAGAAAUUAUUUAAUAAAGGUUUAUUUUACUAAAAUAACCCUAUUAAUUAUGCAUUGAAAAUAUGAAUUUGAGUAAAUACAUUUUAUUUAAUCAUUUAAUGUUGAGGGUAAUAUUGGAAAAAUAUAAUAAAAUCCUCUUGAUUUCAUCAAAGGGACAACUAAAUUGAAACAAAUAUUUUUAGAAAGAGGGCCAACUAAAACAAAACGGAGGGAGUAGAUUCAAAGGGUAAUAUGGUAAAACUAGCCCUAUCAUUACUAUUUCUUAACUUAUGUGUCAAGUUAAUAAUGGACAACUAUUGAUAGAUGGAGGUAGUAACAAUUAGACAAAAUGUGUUCACAUUUAGCAAGCUUAAACUAAAGUACCAAAAUUGCUCAAAAAUAUAUUUAAGGGGACAUUUUGGUGAAAUAUAAGGGAUAUUUUAACCAAAUUUUGUCAAGGUUAUUUUUGUGAAAGAAUAUGGGGCAAAGCUGAAUUACUUUUGUGUACGACUUGACUUGUGGAAAUCCUAAAUAGAGUGUGACCCUGAUAAAUACUAUAUACUUACGUAAAUGAGAGAUACGAAUGUCCACGGGGUUGUUUCCAAGGUCUUCUUGUUCUUUUUGAAUUCAUGCUGCAGAUUCCCCAAGUUUGGGAAGACACCAUGAUAACUCAAUCAGUUGUAGUGUGUGGAUUUCUGCAAACUCAAUGGGUAUCUCUUUCAAAUUAUAGCAUUCUUUAAGUACAAGGCACUCAAGGACAGGAAAAUUGUCAUCUGUGACUUCCAGUGCUUGAGACGAUUACCUUUAAUUAGCAAAAACUUCAAUCGAGUAAAUCCCCUAACAUUUGGAUACCAUUCUUCUCCAAGACAAGCAUCAUGCAUCAGCUUCAGCACCUCAAGGUUAGGCAAUUCAUCUAUGAUGUCCAUGUACGACCAACGUAGAAAAUUUCUUUUCAACUUCAGCUUCUUGAGCGUUGCUGGAAAAGCUUUUGCACUUGCUGGCAAAAAUCUACUAAAACAAUAGAUAAGACUCAAUGUUUCAAGUUGCUGCAGAUGGACAAGAUUGUUGAGAGGCAGCCCAUCAGAGUCAAUCUGAUAUGCACUGAUUCCUAAUUCUUUGACCUUCUGAAUCCUCAUAAUAAACUCCUUCGUGCAACAACAUGGAGACAAGUAAGAAAUAGUUUGUAUGGUUGAAAAACCCAUGUGACUCCCUUUGUCAGCAGAUACGCUUGGGGGAUUAGGCAGAUAAAAUUCGGGCAGUUCGAGAUGCCUUAAUUGCAUUAGUCCCAAAAUUUCCUCAGGAAAAGUUAUUUUCCAUAGACUAGGCCCUUGAACCAUGAAUGUCUGCAGAUUCCAUAACCUUCAAAUUUCUGGAGGUAUGUCUACUUUCUUACGGAAAUGCAAUAAUAGGUACCUCAACCAGAUUAGGCUUAGAAUCUGUACAGGGAAAUGAUCCAUAUCUAUGUUUCUCAACUCCAAGACUUUGAGUAAUUUGAAAUGAAUAAGCUCUGAUUUGAGAACAAAAAAUGAAUCCUUAAGAUGAAAAGAGAAAAUAGAACGGGUUCGUUUAAUAAGAUCGUUGUUGUCAUGAUCUCCCAACUGAUGAUGUACAGGGGUAAGAAGAGCCCUAUAAAGACCAUGGGGACAAUAAUCAAUUUUAUCACCAGUCACGCGUUUAAAGGGCUGCAUUUUUUGCAUAGUGAGAUAUCGACGUUUUGAAUCUGAAUAUGAGUAAUCAAGCACAAUGUCAUUCAUGAUAAAAAUGUUCUCCAUUUGAAUUUCUCUCACGCACAGGUCAUAUAUUAUAUCAUGAACCUUACAUGAUCUAUUUUUUGUUCCAUCUAGACUUUUCUUGCAGACGAGGACUAGACAUCUAUCGACAAGCUCCUGCAAACACUUCUCAGCCUCUCCUUCCAAAUCAUUUUCCAACUUCAGGAACCCCUCAGCCAUCCAUGAUCUCACCAAUCUCUUUGCUGGUACCUCACUGUCUUCUGGAAAAAUUCCGAAAUGCAGAAGACAUGUUUUUAGAUCGCUAGUCAAGUGAUGUAACUGAACCCAAGCACAUGUGAACAUUGUUCAUCAGGAUCAUUUGUGAUGAAUGACGUGACAUCUUUGGCAACACUUCCCCAAUCUUCUAUUGUCAUUUUAGAUUUAAGAAGCCCAGCAACCACGACGAUAGUUAGUGGUAACCCGUGACAUUUCUCUGCGAUUUGCUUCGCAAUAGUCUCAAACAAAGAUGACAAUGCUUCAUUUGAAAAUGCUGUACUUUUAAAAAGGUUCCAACUCUCAUCUUGAUCCAUGAAGUUCAUCUGCAUAGAAAGAUUCUCUGUACCCGCAUUGCGAGCUACUUCGUUGUUACGGGUAGUCAACAGUAUUCGACUCCCUGCAUUUUCAUCAGUUGGAAAGCAUCGUCUCACGCCAUCCCACACUUCACAACUCCAGAUAUCAUCCAAGACAAUUAAGUACCUCUUUCUCUUUAAACUUUUUUGCAGCAUGUCUGCUAGCUCUGCUUCAACUUCCGUCUUAACCGUGUCAUCCAUUUUGAUCGUCGAUUUUAGAAGGGUCUGCAAAAUUUCCUUUAUGUUGUGCUGUUGAGAUACAGUAGCCCAGGCACGAACAUCAAAACCGCGUAGAAUAGAUUCAUGAUUGUAGACUUCUUUCGCUAAGGUUGUUUUACCUAUCCCAUCCCGACAAUCGGGAUGACUUUGGGUUCACCAGAGUAGCUUCCAAUCAGAUCUUCUAACAAGCGUUCCUUUUGAUCAUCACGUCCAACCAUAUUAUUGUUAACAUUCAGAAUAUCGUUUGUUGAACUUGAAAAAUCAUGAACCAAUGAUUCCUUUGAUGCCUGUUUGCCUUUAUCUUGAAUCUUUGUUGACUCUUUCCGGACAUGAUCAAUGUCCUUUGCUAAUUGUCGAAAGCUUUUAUGAAACUUUCUGAGUGUCCUUAUAUUGAGAUUCCUUUGAAAAAUCUUGUGCCAAUGAUUCCUCUGAUGCUUUUAUUUUCUCCCAGUACAGUUUCUGUUAGUCUCAGUUGAAUUGUGUUUUCAGCAGCACUUGCAACUUCUUUUACCUCUACUUCAAAAUCCGUCAUUUCCCCAGAAACAUUGUUUUUCACAAAGUUCUUAACAAAUACUUCCAGGGAACUAACUUUUUCAUGAAGAGCGCUAAGUUCUUCUCUGUGAUCACAGAUUAGAGAUUGCAUCGGUGAAUUGGAUGUCAGGAGCGAUUAUAUUGUUCUCAUAAGAGAAGCCACACUUGCAUGAGUCAUAUCUACUGAAUUCUCGUUUCUAUACUUUGCGGUUAUGACCUGAAAGCUGCAGGUUGCAAGAGGUCAACGGUAUUACAAAUAACGAGAUACACAGAUUUGCUGAAAAGGCACGCACAAACUAAAUAAGAUCAGGUCAUGUAUUUGUCAUAAUCAUAGCUAUAAAAGGGUAACAGUGAGUUUAGUCCCAAAGUAGCUUUAGCUCAUUUAACGCGUAAAAAUAAUUUAACUCCCUGUACGCAAAAUAGAUUGUGGUUCAAAACUCCGCUUUUCUUACUUAGGUAGUGUUUUCUAUGUUGCUGGGACUCUUUAAAAAAGUUGCCACACCCAUUUCAGAUCCUUAAAAAAAUGCACAACCUAUGAAGGAUCCAACACGUAAUCAUCGUUAUUUUUGAGGAGUUGGAGCAACAUAACUAUAUAUAGUACAAAGAGCUAAAUUAUACAUUGAUAAGCCACUACAAGUGCUAUUUUGCUCUAGAACUUUAAUUAAAUGAGAGAAUAAUUAAUGGAAACUAACCUUUCAAUGGCAGAUCUUCAAAAUCACUGAAAGAGAUAUUUGAGAAAAGGAUAGAAGAAAUGACAAUAUUAUGAGUAACAAUAAACAAAUGUGUGAAGAACGAAAGAUACACAGUACCUAAACAAGAUAACAUAUGAGUGGUUGAAAUGAUACCUGAAGAAUUUAUCAGCCCAAACAGUCCCUUAACUCUGCAUAGUAGGUUCACUUAGGUUACUAUAAUAUAAUGUUGAACAUAAAUGGUCCUUUAUCUGUAACGCCCCAUAAAAGUCAUGCAUAUACUAGCUCCAAGUGGUGUGGUUUUGAACUUGAAAACUUGAAAUUUUUCUAAGUGUUGAAAGACUUAGACUCAUUUUUAGCUAUUAACCUUCGGGGAUUUUAUUUCCAACCUUCCCGACGUCCGUUUUCAGAUUUUCUUGUUGCGUUGCGAUGGGGCAAGGUUGUAGUGCGUCUCGAAAGAGUUUCGGAAUUUUUAGACGAGCAUAAGGACGAGUUUGGGGUUGCAUUCCAGUGAGGGUACGCGAUCUGCGGGCGUCGCCUGGCAGAUCGCCUGGCCUGGGCUUGAGCCCGCGAUUGAGCGGGCGACGCCUGCUAAAAAGCGGUACUCUAGAGCCCACAUCGCCUGCUGAAUCGCCCCAGGCCAAACUGUUCAGCCCAUCGAAAAAUUAAUGGUAUUUCAAUAAUUGUCCAAUCCCCCAUCAACUCAAACAAUUUAAUCCCUCAAACACCAAAAUAGAGUCUCAUUCACCAAAAUUACUCAAGAACUCUCUCAAGGAUUUUAAAAUAAAAAUCCUAAUAGCUCAAGAUUCAACUGUGUGUUUUCAAAACAAAUUGAAGAUUUGGAAUCCCCGCAACGUAGGCUUCAAGAAACAUCUAUUAUUUCCGCGUAUAGAGGUACGUGAGGUUAUCCUAAAAAUCUCAUAGGCUUAAAAAUUCAUGUUUUAAUAAUGGGGGUUUUGAAAUUUAUGAAUAUAAUCAUGUUUUAAACGUUUCUAUGAUAUUGAUUUGGUCUUUAGACCUAUUCCCGAAGUGAUUUGAUAUAUUAUAUGUGUAUAUGCAUGUAUUCCGAAAAGAUGUUAACUUGAGAGCAUGAAUUAUAUGAAAUCCCUCUCUUGAUAUGAUUUUUUUUUUAAUUUUCAUAUGAUGUGAAAUGUUUGAAAUCAUCUUGACAAGCAUGACAUGGAAUAUUUUGAAAAUUGUUAUGAUUGGUUAUGAUUUUCGACUUGCAAGGAGAGGGUUGUUUAUAAUGGUUGAAUGAAAGAAUGAUGUGAUGCUGAUGACUUGCAAGUCGGGUAUGAUGAUACCCUACAGAAUAUGAUAGGUGAUUGAAUUAAAUGAAGUUUGAAUGCAUUGAUUUUAUAUGAGAUAGGUGGAUGACCCAAGAAGGCGUUUGAGUGUAAGGGUUCAUCGUUGGAAAUCGUGUUUGCCGACAUGGGAACUUGGUUCAAUGCUUUGUGAUCUUGUGUACCUGAUAUAUAUAUUAUCCCAAUUUGGGACUAUGGUUAGGAGCCCUGCUUUGUGAUCUUGUGCACUACCAUACUUCAUUGGGUCGAGCCACCCUGCUGUGUGACCUUGUGUGUCUUCCCCUAACUUAUACUCUAAUCUUGGCAGCAACCGAGGUUUGACAGGUGGUGUAAAUGUGAUAUUGUAGGGUAUUCCACCUAGCUCACCUGCAUUGCGUUGUUGUUAAAAAAUUAUUACAUUAUGCCCAUGUGUUUUCAAAUGAUUUGAUAUGAAACUGUUUUAUAAUGGCUCUCACUUAUACUUUGUAAAAAUAUUGUAUUUUGUUUUGGAUUACACUGCGUACCAGCACAUUUGUAUUGACCCCCUUCCCUCCCAGGUUCGGAGGCACAGUCUAGGGGUCCAGAUAACCAGUAGAUUUCUUCCGACAGAUUUACAAAAUCAAGUGGUGAGUCUUCUAUAUUUUGGAAGGCCUGAUGCCUAUCAGUUCAUUUAUCACUUAGUAGUUUUGGUUCUACUGGGGCCCUUGUCCCAGUUUUCGGACAGUUAUUUGUUUCAGUCGUAUAGUAGAGAUUUCGCAGACGGUUGUUCAGAAGUCGAUAGAUGUUGUGGGACAUUAUUUUUCCUUUGUUGAUUUCAUUUGAUUUAUGACCAUAUUUCCGUAAUAUUGUGUAUCUUCCGUAUAUCUUAUUAUCAUAUGAAUUAUGUGCAUGAUUACCAGAUAGAUACGGGUGUUUCGGGCCUUCAUGGUUUGGAAUGCUCGGCACGGCCAGGGCCCCGAUUCGGGUUGUGACAAACUUGGUAUCAGAGCACAGUUCAUAGUCCCAGGGUGUCUGCGAAAUCGCAUCGGGUAGAGUCUUGUUUAUGGGUGUGUAUCGUGCCACACUUAUAAGCAGGAGGCUACCAGGCGUUUAGGAAAUGUUUCCCUUAUUUGUGAAUUAGUUCGUGCUUCAAAGUCAAGUCUGAUCCUAAUCAGUGAUCUUUUGUCUUACAGAGACAACAGUCAUGCCUCUUCGUCGCAAUACUAAUAGAGUGCUCAAAAUGAUGAAGACCGUCCCACUCAUGGGAUGAGGACACGUAAUAGGGCUCUCCCUCCAGACCCUGUCCCUACUUUGGGAGUCCCAACCAGUCCACCUCAGGCUCCACGGACCAAUAUGAACCGUCCCCCGACUUCACAGGGGAAUAUAUCAAACGCAGAGUUCAGGCAAUCUAUUCACAAAAAUAUUUUAAUUUUUUAUUCAGUCGAACAUAUUAAAACUUAAUAAGUACUCCCUCCGUUUUAAAAAACUGAUCUGUUUUUAUUUUUAGUCUAUUUAAAAAAAGAAUGAUAAUUUCCUUUUUUGGUAACACUACUCCAACUUUUCACAUAGUAUGUUUAAGACCAUAAAAUUUAAAAAUAUUAUAGUACAUUUGACAUAAAUUUAAUUUAAAAUAACAAGAUUUAAAAUUUUUUUUUAUUUUAUUAAACUCCGUGAUAAAUCAAAAUAGGUCAUUUUUUUAAAACGAAAGAAUAUUAUGUAAGUAAUUAAUAAUAAAAUAGGAAUGCAAAAUUUGCAGAAAGGUUGAGAAAGGCCCUUGUACUUUGCAGAAAGGUUGAUCUUUGCCCCCCACUAGAAGUUUGACUCAAUAACUUUUGCCCCCUACUAGUAAUCUGGCUCACUAUGUUAUCGUCGUUACAAUGUGCUAAAUUUUGUAUUUAUAUUACCGCAUAAACUUGUCGCAUGGCUAGACUGCCAUAGAGACACAACUCAAAAUAUCCAAAUAAAAAGGAGGUGAUGGUUUCAAGCCGUGGAAACAACUCUAGAAGAAAAUGUAGGGUAAGACCGUGUGUAAUAGUCUCUUGUGAUUCAAUCCUUUUCAAAACUCGCACAUACCGAUAGUUUUAGUGCACAAAACUGCCUUAUGCUUUUAUUUUUUUCCAUUAUAGUUUCUGUUAGCUUAAGUUGAAUUUUGUAUUCAACAAUAUUUGCAACUUCUUUUACUUCUACUUCAAAAUCCAUCAUUUCCCCCGAAACAUUGUGUUUCUCAAAGUUCUUGACGACUACUUCCAGGAAACUAAUUUUUUCAUGAAGAGCGCAAAGUUCUCAGUUUGGGAUCAGAGAUUGCAUCGGAGAAUUGGAUGUCAAGAGCGAUUCUAUUGUUCUCAUAAGAGAAGCCACACUUGCAUGAGCCAUAUCUACUGUAUUCUCGUUUUUGUCCUUUGUGAUUAUGACCUGAAAACUGCAGGUUGCGAGAUGUCAAUGGCAUAAACUAAAUAAGAUCAGGUAAUGCAUUUGCCUUAACCAUAGCUAUCAUUUAACGCGUGAAUUUAGUCCUAAACUCAGUAGCUUUAGCUCAUUUAACGCGUAAAAAUAAUUUUAACUCUCAGUACACAAAAGAGAUUGUGGUUCAAAACUCCGCUUUGCUUACUUAGGUAGUGUUUUCUAUGUUGUUGGGACUCUUUUAAAAAAUAGCCACACUAAAAAAUGCACAUCUUUUGAAGGAUCCAACAAGUAAUCAACGUUAUUUUUGAGGAGUUCGAGGAACAUAACUAUAUACAUAGUACAAAGAGUUAAGUUAUACAUUGACAAGCCACUACAAGUGUUGUUUUGCUCUUAAAACUUACAUUAAAUGAGAGAGUAAUUGACGGAAACUAACCUUUCAAAGGCAGAUUUUCUAAAACAGUAAGUAAGGUUUGGGUACACCCCACCCUCCCGAUACCCCACUUGUAGGAUUUUCUAACUUUACUAGAAAGUCGGACCAUAAAAUUAAAGGGACAUAAUUCAAAAGUCAUUCUUUACUUUCUUAAACUUCGUGCUUAGUCAAAAUAGGUCAUUUUUUUAAAAUGAAGGGAGAAACUUUUUUAUCCGAGAUGAUCAGCAGUAUCCUUAACAAAAAAUUACUGGGUGGCAGUACGUAUACUAAAUUGUUGAGGUUGAUUUUGCAGAUGGUCGCUCAACUAACAAUUUAUUAACCCAGAAAGAUAAGUAAUUAAGUGAAACUAACCUUUCAAUGGUAGAGAGUUGGGAAGAAGCAACUGGUCACUGCAACAAGAUACUAUGAGAAAAGAACAUAAAAAACACAAAUAUGAAUAUAUGAAAGAAAAGGUGUAAAACACAAAAGAUAUGCUAGCAAGUAAUCAAGAUUAAAAUCAAGAGAAAAAUCACAUACCUCUCUGAGUGAAUAAAAUGACAUUAUUUAUUUUUAGAUAAUCAAUUGAAUGCUAUUUUUUCAUAAAGGAAUGCUAAUUUUAAAUUAACUUGUAGAAAGAUUCUGAGGACCUGUUUGGAUUGGCUUAUUUUAAGUGUUUUAGCGCCAAAAUACUUUUGCAUUUCAAAUAGUUUUUUCUAUUUAACUAACCAUACAAACAUCUAAGCUCCAAAUAAGAGUAAAUUCAGCAAUACAUACAUUGCAAAAUGCUUUGCCUCACUUCAGUCGAAUGUGCCAGCUUGGCUGUGCAGUCUAAAGCUUUUGUGUCGGAUAGUAGAGAGGCAUCAUUAUCUUCAUUUUUCUCUCUUUAUUUAGUUUUAGAAGUGUCAUGCCAUUGAUGAUCCUUAGAGUCUUCGUGCUCCUGUCCCUUGUAAAAGAAAUCAACACGAUAUUUCUCUUAGAUCUCCCCAUCAUAAAGGUCAUCCUUUACCGGCUUAUCAUUUAACUUAGCCCUACAAUAGCAUAGCUUAAUGAUAUAUAUUUAAUUUCUUUCAGAUGGUGGGUGUCCCUAAAAUGAAGGAGAAAAUAGACGUAUUAACCCUUUAUACGCUCACAGAAUCAUAAUAUUAACAUCUCAUGGAAAAUCAUGCAUGUCUAAGAACCCUGAAGGUUGUUAUUAAAGUCAACUUCUCCCUGCAAGGUUGUUCUACUCUAGUUUAACGAUCUCCACCAACCAAUCCUACCCAAAGGUGAAAAAAGAAUAACAUGUAUAGAGGAAACUCGAUAUGGAAGGAUAAAGAGAUUUCCAAGGGGAAGUCUAUUGACAUACAAACACAAUUUGAUUCUUAUAGGCCCAUGUACCUAUGUAUAGCACGAGUGUAAAUAAGCUAAUUACUCUAGUAUUUCAGAUAAUAGCCUUGAAAUAUUCUAGCUGACAGAACUCUUGUAUCACGAAUCUGAUGAGCUGUCCUCCACAAUGACUUAACAGCUAUGCCUUGAAAAGAUAUGAAUGCCAAACACAUACAUGUAUGCAGGACUUCAGCAAACUAUCAAAAAAUAAGACUAAAAACAACCAGUUUCACCUCGUGAUUCAUUGAAACGGAAAAAAUGAAACAUUUGGCUGUAGUUACAAAACCCCACAUAUGAGACAAUAAAAAAAUCCUAUGACUUACUAACCAUCAUCUGUUUCCAACUCUAAUAGUGAAGAAUGUCACUGUUCACUCUUCUGUUCAUUCACCGCUCUAAAUUUCUCUCCCUGCCUGUCAAUCCCCAACACCCACAUAAAGCACUUGGAAAGCCAACAUUUGUAUUUACCUUAAAAUUUUUUAGUUUAAUACAUCUCGCAUAAGACAAAGUUGUCAAAAAAUUUAUAACUAAGUAAUCAAUAAGAAAUAUUUCAACUCUCUCAGUGCUUUCCCUUUUAUCUUUGGCCGAUAAUUUGACAACGUGUGACAGGGUAGCAUACCAUAUUAUUCUCAAAAUAGAAUCAUCAGACCUAGAAAGACGAACUUCAGAAGUCUGCAUAGGAAAAGUUUGACAUUCAGGUGGUUUGAAGUCAAAGACGGAACUCUUCUUUUCCUUAUUGAUCACUAUAACCCCACAAUCUUCUUUAUUCUAACACCCAAUAUAUCAACUACCCAUCAGAUCUUCUUUAAUCGAAAAAAUAUGACAUUUUGAGAACAUCGGUUGCACCUAAACUUUAAUUAAUAGCGAUGCAGUGCAAUGUUGACUCAGUAGAGUCUAAAUCUAUUUGGAAUUAAUUUCGUAUUGAGUAGUAUCUGUCACUAUCGAAAUCGGAACAGUAAAAAAAGUGCAAUAUCCACCGCCAUCUUGCAGAAAAGUACCCCUAAUGUAAAUCAACAUAUGCAUAAACAAAUCGCCAUUUCACAUGAUAAAAUUUCAGAAUCUAAAAGCUUGCAAAAUGCUAUCAAAAAUCCAAAUUUUUUGUUCAAAAUCAAUUCAUAAUUCAUAAUGUAAAAACUAAUUCGGAAACUACCGCUUACGCACAAUUGUUCCUUCUUCCUCGAGCCACUUACACUUAAAAACCAUGCAAUGAAGAUUUAUUCACCAUUACAUAACAAUUAAAUGGAUAAAAAUAUUAAACGACACAAAAUAUAUUUCACAAACUAAGUCAAAAGAAUCGUCAUUGUACUAUGAUUCAAUUUGAUGUAAUUAUACCAAAAGUAUAUUCAAAAACCAAAAUAGUGAAGACCAACAAUUGAUGUCAUAAAAAUCCCUUAAAGAAGUUAAAAAUUCUUGAAAAGAUGGAGAAAAAGAACUCCUGUCUUCCCAUGAAAAGAAAACCAUACAACUUUACGCACCUUUUGCAAUUUCAUCUUUUAUUUGAAUAAAUGUUGUUGGACAUUCUUCAAUCUGAUGCAUUUUCUUUCAAAUACUACAUCUCUAUUGUGAAUUGCAACUUGUGUUAUUGAGAUCUCCGUGCAGUCAAAGACUUCAAUAAUGGCAUAUAACUUUUUUUAUUUUUGGUCUUUUGCGUCUGGAUUUGCUGAUGAAUUUGCAGUAAAACUGCCUCUGGCAGUUUCCUCAAUUUGGAAAUUGUUAAUUUAAUUGAAAUUCAAAGGUGUGGCUGAAUCGUGGGUGGCUUACCAUAAAACAUUUGUCAAACUCAUUAAUAUAAUAUUUAAAAUUUAAAUUUUUGAAAAACAUGUGACAUUAAAGUAUCAGUAAAAUAAAGAAUUUAUUUUAAAAAUGUGUAAACAAAUUAAAAAUUAGUGGUAACUAACAAUUAACCUAACUAUAUUUUUUGGCCUAACUAAUUUCUUGUCUUAACAUGCCAAAUGUCUUUUUAUUAGAAUGACACUUGGCUUAUUGCGGGGGCUUUAUCCUCUCUUAUUAAUAAUAUAUAGAUUCGUGUUUUACGUAUCAUUUAUAAUUCGUUUGCCGGGCUUAAAUGAAGUUCAUUAGAUUAAUUUUGAAUUUUCAAUGAUAUACUUGUUAAAAUGAUUAGCGUUACAAGAUGUGGCAUUGUAUUUAAUUGACAUGCGAUUAGCGUGUAGUCGUGUUGUAAACCACAAUUCACGACGCAUGCAUGCAUACAUGCAAAAUAAAACAAAUUAAAAAAAAAAUGCAACAACCCACACAUAGAAAACGUGUUAGAGAAGGAAUAGAAAGAGAAGAAAUCCUUAGGUAAAGAACUCCUACUAUAAACUGGUGCGUAUAUGAAUAGUUGAAACUAAAGGGUAGAUAAUCUAUGUAAUUACGUGUUGAAAUUGCAUUAGGAUUUUGAAUGUGUUUUGAAGCAUAUAAAAUAUUACCUAGAUUUGUUUGAUUGUUAUCCGAUUAAAACAGAGACAUAAGUCAACAGAAUUCUUUAUCCGAAUUUUUAGUUCGCAAACCAAAAAUUAAGAGUCAUUUCCUUUUGAAUACAGAUUCAAUAAGGUGACUUAGAACACCCAAACUCAAUUCCAAGUGGUGACUCUAUAAAUAAAAUAAUCCUUAUUCAAAACGUCACUUUAAUUGGAAAAACCUAUAUUCUCAAAACCAACUCCCUAGCGGGGUGAGGGGUGUGACACUAUGUUAUCUCCGCUACCAUUUUGGCUGGAAAAUUGAGGGAUUCUUUGUUAAAUGGCCUUUUCAAGUUUUUUUUUAAUUAAAUAAACUACACCUCCUUUUUUUUUUUUUAGAAAAAUGAUCCAUUUUUUAGAAAAAUCUAUUAUCUAUCCGACCGAUAUAUAGACAGAUCAAUUAUCGAUCCAACAAAUCAGUUGUCGAUCCGACAAAUUGAUUAUCGAUCCGACCUAUAUAUGGACAGAUUGAUUAUCAAUCUGAUAGAUGAGAAAAUGGAAGUAGGCCAUUUUGUUAAUUGAAAACUUAAAGAGGCUUAAUAACCAAAUUUUCUCAAAAGUUGCCCUUAGUCAAUACGAUGGGGUCAUAGAUAAAUAUUUUUCUUUGGGUACCUAAAAGUGCAACAAAGAAGAAUGAGUCAGGAGCCUUAGCAUCAGGAUUUAGUCCAACUAAUGAUUAUACAUUAGUGGCCUAUAUAUGUUGUUCAAAAAUGUCAACAUUGUUCAAAAGUGUCAACAGGUGCAUGUUAGAUACUUUAAAAGUAGUAUAUUCUUGAAGAAUCCUACACAGAUGCAGCAACAUUAUGGAGAGUCCGAGCAACAUAGUUAGUGGCCUUAGAGUAGCACUAUGUGCCAAUUACUCCAUCUGUUCUCAUUUCUUCAAGGGACGUAUAUAUAAAUGACUUGAUAGAAAAAUUGAAUCUUAGUUCUCUUUCGUUUGCUUGCAGAUUCUGAGUUCAGGAACACAGGAUUAGAAAGGUCAGAGGUCUUAGAAAAAGAUUUGGAAUGGUUUAGGCAGCAAGGUCCACUACAAGAAAAAGGUCUAUUUAAGACCAACUUUUAGAGACGAGUCAAUAUUUUGGUCUCUAAAAGUAUCCUUAUUAGGACGAGAUUAAAUUCCGGUCGUUAAUACUAUAUUUUAUUGCGAAGGUAUAAAAUCCGAUCCCUAAUAUUUGUUUUAACUGGUCCCAAAUCUUAGUUAGGAGCUUUACCCUCCCUGAACCCCACUAUGUGGGAAUAUACUAGGUAUGUUGUUGUUGUUGUUGUUAUUAUAAUAACCCACAAUAUUAUCCAAAACAAGCCACAAUAUUGAUCGACGAUCUAUUCGGAAUAUAAUAAUUCAACCAUCUCUAAAUACGAAAACAAAAAAAUAGUCCAAAGUUAUAAAAUGAAAGAGCACCCAUGUCAAUAAUACAAAAUAUGUAAAAUUAUGUUAGGUAUUUAGAUUUUCUCGUAAUGAAAAAUUCCAAGUUACUACUCCCUCCAUUUCUUUUUAUUUGCUAAUUUUUUUUAGAGUCAAAAGAUACAAAUUUGAUCAAUAUUGUAAAACGUGUUUCUUAAUCAAAUUGAAAAAAAAAAUUAUAAUUUAUAAUACUUUUCAUAUAAUUUUUGAAUAUCUAAAUUUUAAUUCUAAAAAAUUAGAUUAAUCUAAUCAAAUAGAUAGAGAGGUCAUUUUUGAAUAUUUCUAAAUUACUAACCAAACAACCACAUUAAUGUUAUACUUGAACUACUGACCUGCUAACUAGCAACCAAACAUAACAUGUAUCUAGUUGAGUCAAAACAUCAUUGAGAUUUGCACCCAUACAACUAAAAAGAUUUCAGAAAGAUAUUCAUUAUUUAGUUGAGCACGCUUCUUGUCAAUCAUAUACAGAGUUGGCUCGUGUUUUCUGAAAGGCUACUAUAAUUUCAUGGAAUUUAUCCUUCGAGCAUCAUCUUUGUAGUAUCAAUCAAUAUUGGGCGAAGAUCACUAGAAGCGCGACCAAGGACAAUGUACACUUGUCCUCAAUGUUUUUUUUAAUAGUAAAAGUUUGGAUGAUUUCAUUCAGCAAGUACUAAACAACCAAAAUCUUUGAUUACAAAGAUCACACAUAGUAGCUAAACCUUAACUGCUGCUCUCCACCUACUACUAUUUGUUCAGAUUUUGAUCAAUUUAAGACAUCUCCAUGAAAUCCCUCUAUCAACUGCACUCAUUUUCUUCAAAUCAUUCAUUGGAAACCAACAGACAUAGUGGUUACUUUAUCACUACUAAAAAUUUGGCUAUUAAUUGUGAAGGUUAGCGAGGGACAAACUGUAUGUCACUGUUGGAAGGGACUUUGUGAUGUUGUCCCCCACACAAGUCAAAUAAGUUAAUUUUUAAUUUUUUUAGAAGGCAGAGAGGGACAUUCCCUCACUAAAAUAUGGUGAUAAUAAAAAUUUAAUUUUAAGUUUAUUAUAGCGAGAGAUUCUCCCUUACUAAAUAAUAACAAAUGAAUUCAUUUUUCAAAGAAAAUUGAAAUAUAACUUUUAUUAUUUUUUUGGCUGGUACCAAUAAUAUUUUAAUAAUAAAUAAAUAAAAAUAAAAUAUAAGUUAUCCAAAGAGUCCGUCGAUAUAAAACACAUACACACACACACUCUUCAAAAAAUAUUAUAAUUGAAUGAGUAGCUUAAAAAAGUGAUAAUUAGAAUAUUUUCGUGGUAUUCUUGAUAAAAAUUGACGAUAUAUUAGCUUACUAGUAUUGUCCGUAUUUAGCACGGACCCAAUAUUUAUAUGUUUUUAAAAAAAUUAUGUGACAAACUUUAUUUUUAAAAUUUUUUCUAAAAAACGUUAUUUUUUUAUUUUUUUUCUGUUUUUAGAAACAAUUUGUUUUGACAAUUUUCAUUAUCUUUUAAUGAAAUGUUUUACGACCACACAAUCCAAGGUUUAUUUAUCGCUGUUGACACCCAAUUUUGACCGCCCGAUACUCUUUUAGGCUGCUAUUUUUAGCGAAAUUAUUAAUUUCAAAUAUUAGUAUUUUUUGCACACUUUUUUUUUUUAUUAAAUAAUUUUGACAAACCACAUUCAUAAGUUAAAAAAUGUAUAAAUUAUUUUAUUACUUUUUAGUAUCAUUUUACAAUCUCAACAAGACAUAUUUUACGUAAAUGUGCACACUAAUAAUUUACAAAUACAUUGUCUAAUAUUUAUUAUUAUUAUUUACUAAUAUCAAUACUUGUUAUUUUUUUUAAUUAUUAUUAUUUAUUCAUUAUUUAUUGUUAUUGUUAUUAUUCCUACUAUUAUUUAAAUAACAGUCUAAAUUGAAAUCAUUUUGCCUAAUUUAUUUAUCUUUUAGCUCAAUUUUUAUUCAAGUCAUAACAAUUUUAGCCUAGUUAUAUUUAAUUUAUUACAAUUAUAGUCAAUUAUGGCUCAAUCUAAAGUUUUAUUCAAUUUUUAUGGUCAAAUUCUCAACUUGAAAUCUCAACCAUGGAUUGUAACUAAUCUGACGGCUGAGAUCAAGAUCCUAUUUUUUCCUUUUAAACUCAAAUUCUCAAACCUUAAUCUAUUGACAACAACCACAACCCUCUAAUAUCUCUCUCUAGACUCCUUCUCCCUUGUCUCUAAAAUUGUCCCUAAUCGACCGUCGCCGACGCCGCCAACAAUAACACCAGCGCCGCCAUGCUGCCAGCGACCAAAUCCCACCAUAUCCGGCCACCGUCCAACCGGAGAUAUCCUUCAGCCGCCACCUUUUAUGCCGUAGCCAUCGUGGAAUCACGCCGGUAGAGCAACCUACCCCGCAAACCUCAGCCGCCGCUUUUCUCUUCCCCUCCAGCGAACCAGCUCCAGCGCCGCUCCAACUUCGCCUCCCUCAACACUUCCGCCGGCGAAAUAAUCACCACAACAACCGAUGCUGACUACCAACGCUGUUCCCGAGCAAGUGCCAUCGAAAAUUUUCAAUACACGAUGGAUUCACGGAAUUCAUCUCGGGUUUGAUUUCGCGUUUAAGUUUUCAUUAAACAUCCUCAUCUUCUUUUGUCGUUAUUUUCUUUGAUUAUCAAAGUUGGAAUUAACGAUAGUUGAUUUUAAUCUUAAUUUGACUCUUUUUGUGUUUUCAUCUGCAUUUUUUGAUCAACAUGUGUUAAAAAGCCUAACUUGCGUAUGCUGUUAUAGCUUGUCUUAUUUUCAACUGCGAUCCGCCUCAAGUAAAGGAUUUUGGGAAAUUUUGACUUUUCUGUCUUCUGUCCUUUUGAAUUUCAAUCGUGAUAAAUGUCCUACAUAUUUCUUAGCUGUUUGGUAUGAUUUUGACUGGUCACUUGAUUUGUGCGGGCAUAUUUAAACCGUUUUGAUAUAAUUUGAACUGAUUGCUCGAUCCUUGUAAAUUUUUUGGUGAUCUGUCUUAUUAAUUCUGAUAACAAUAAUUAGUUUGGACUAAUUGUUUGACAAGCUGCUUGAUUUUGUGAAUUUGAACUGGUGGAUUUUUAUUAAUAACAAUUAGUUACGAAUUUUCAGUGUGAUUUUUAUUUUGAUAAGGAUUCAUUUCAGUUUCCUGAGAUAUGUAUUUGUGAUACCUUAUUUCAGAGAAUUUUCAGUUCAUUUUGUUGAUAUGUUAGUUAGUAGAUGCACUUUUCGUCUUUAACUUGUAGGUUGUUAGAUUUGCCUGUUUUUUCGACUUAGACUUCUUUUUGUGCUUUUGCUUCAAUGGUUUUGGUUUCUGUGUAAUAGUGAUCCAAAGUUUAUUGUUGUUUGAUGAAGUUUUGUUCUUUGCUAUGUACCUUUUUGUUUUCUUUAACUAUGUGGAUCAAUGGGUGCUGAAUUUAUUCGAAAAGGAUUCUUUUUGGUUUCUGAGAUGUUUUACUGCAAGAACUGAGGAUCUUUAUUUUGAAUUUUUCACUUGGUAACUAGCUAUAAAGUCUUGAUCUUUUUUUAUUUUUCUCAUUUUCGUGCUUUUGCUGCAAUGGUUUGUGUUUUUGUGUAGUAUUGAUCCAAGGUUUGUUGUCUCAGUUUCUUUUUAUUUGAUAAAGUUUUCAUCUUUUUGUGUGUACCCAUUUAUUUUAUUUAUCUUUGUGGAUCAAUGGGUUUGAUUUUAUUUGCAAAGGGUCCGUUUGUGUUUCACUAGAUGUGAUUUUGUGGUUCUUGUUUCGGAGAAUUUAGUUCAUUUUCUUAAUCUGUUUAUUCUAUUUUGAGCAAUAGAUAAGAUUACUUUUAAUUAGAGGUUAUGAGUUUAAGAUUGAAAAUAUAAGAAUGUUUUUGUGUGUAUAAUUGAUUUUAUUCUUAGUGCUUUUCCUGCUAUAACUCUCACUUUUACGAACCUGAAAACAUGGAUUUCCUUGGUUUAUUAGGAGGUUUACUUAAUGUGCUAAUUUUUUCUUAUGCUGUUGGCUUUUUGUACUUCUCUGCACUAUCUCAUUUUUCAAAAUAAAAUAAAAUUUGACCUUGCCCAAAAAAAGUAUUGUUGAACCUGAAUGUUUUUGAUGUGUGACUGCUUGAUGCUUUGGCCGAGAAACAUUUAGAACUGCUUGACCCAUAAUGAACUCCAAUGCUUAAUUCAACCUGAUUGUUCUUUCUUACCACAACAUGCUACUAUACUUAUUUAACGGGAUGAAAAUAGAUGAGUUGCCUUGAAGGAAAACAUUUAGAUUCCCUUUUGAUGAGAUAAUGGCUAAGCAUAUGUAUUAGUUUGGCUGUGCUUCAACAAUAUGAAUGAAACAUGAAACUUCACUUGAGUGAAAGAAAGCAAAUUAAUAGAUGAAUGCCCGAUUUCCUUGAGCAAGGUUUGUGCAUGAAAUAGUGAAGGUUUAUUUAGUAAUUUACGUUGUUUUUAUUUUAACUAUCAAAUCUGAAAGCAUCAUCAUCAAUCUUAAUUUUCUUCUCUUUUCCACAGGUAUAAAAGUGAGUUGAAUAAAGAUUAAUUGCAAGCUCAACACGUCAUUGGUAUUUUGGAAGAAACCUCUACAUAUCUGCCGUAGUUUAGGAUAGGAGUAAUAUUUAGUAUUAUAUUUAAGUUAGAUUUACUUUAUGUUGGACUUGUUUUACUUUUCUUUGCCCUGUGAAGAGAUAUUACCUUAGUAUAAUUUUAGUUUUUUUAAUUGUAUGAGUGUGUGUGAAUUUUAUCAAUAUGACAUGAUUUAUAAUUUUAUUUUUAAUUUAUUCAAUUCUAAUUUAAAAAAUAAUAUCAAUAUGAAAUAAUUAAAUGUUCUCUUGUAAUUGGUGACAAAAGAUUUUAUUUUCAA